rnacentral:lncRNA from 1 species
UUUCUUUUUUUGUCAAUAAUUGUUACAUCCAGUAACAUCUCCCAGAUUUAUAUUGAAAUCCCUAACCCUUCUCUUCCUGCUUUUCAGGAUUCAUCUGAGAAGAUUUCCAGGAGCAGUGAAGACUCCCACAAUGGUAUUGAUACCGACUCUUCCAGCAUUAGCACUGAACCAAAAGGUAUAAUUUUGGUACAACAGAACAUCAUCAAAUGAAGUUUAAUCAAAACUAUGUGAAUCCGACAUUCAAUGCUUGCAGAAAAUGUAAAAUAUAACCUUGAUAUAUACAUAUAAAAAGUGAUGUAGAAAACAAUGAUUUGGGGCUUGUGUGCUUUAUAGGAUUAUUAGUUGGCCUUUAACUCUACUUUUUUUUUCCAUAUCUCAGUAUCUACUUUGUACUUAUUGCAAUAUUUACGCUCAUGUAUACAACGGUACUAUACAUUUCACUACAAAUAAGUUCGGCAAAUCAGUAAAUUUGAAACGAAUGUCUGUAUCUUUACCUAGGAUAUAAUGAUCAUUAGGCAUAAGUGGCCGUUCACGUUAACUUUUAUUCCACUUCAUUUUGCCUCUUAUGAUAUACUGAGCCUUCACCUUGGCGUGUGUGCUGAAGCGAAAUUUGGCUCUAUAUGCAGCUCUCCCCCCUCCGAAAAUUGAACAACCAGUUCUCCCCCCUCCAAAAGUUGAACAACCAAAACCAGAAGUGAAGCCAGUACCAGUUCCAGUUCAACAAAAAGUAUGUAUGCCUCUCAGCUUGUUUUUUUUUUCUCAAAUAAUUUUUGAAUCUUAAAUUCAUUUUAUUAUCAAUCUGUAAUUCUGUACACUUGCUUCCUCUAACCUUAGUGUGAAUGAGAAGCGUAUUGAUACAUUCUUUUGUUUAAACAUAUGUUGCUUCCAGGGUGACGAUAGGUGGAUUAGGCCUCCCAGAGUUCAAAAUGCUGAUGAAGUGGAAAAGGCUAAGGCUUGUCAACUUGAAUUUGGGAGUUACUGUCUCUGGUCCAUAGAGCACAAAGAAGUUAUGAGGGAUACCAUCGUGAAAAGGCUGAAAGAUCAGCUAUUUGUAGCUCGAUCAUACUACCCAAGCAUUGCGAAACUUAAAGGAAAGGAGGCACUGACUCGUGAAUUGAAGCAAAAUAUUCAAGAACAUGAGAGGGUUCUCAGUGAAUCCAUUGUUGAUGCUGAUCUACCAUCCUUGUGAGUAUUUAGCAUGUGUGAAUGUCGUCUCACGUCUUUAAUGCAUUUCACGGUUGAUCUUGUCAAUUGCAACUGUUAUCAUUUGCUUAGCCAUGCAUUACAUAUUUUGAUCAUGUAUUCCAGUACUCUACUUUCAGAUGUUCUUUUAACUGUACAUGUUUUGUGAGUGUAAUUUUAAAAUACACACCCUUAAGCCUUGUUCGGUUUGGUGGGAAUUGAGGAGGAUUGGAGUGGAUUGAGAGGGAUUAAGUCUCCCUUUCUCUCCCCUCUGAAUCCUGUUAAAAAGACCUUUAAAAGAUGUGAAAUUUUCCCAUCACGGAGCUGUUCUGAUUUUUGACAUCUGGGUAAUUCUUGACAUAUUCUUUUCAGUAUAAAAAAGAAGAUAGAGAUAAUGGACCAAUCAAUAGCAAGAGCCAAAUCGUGCACUGUGGAUUGUAACAAUGUCGACAGAAAGCUUCGUCAAAUUCUUCAUAUGACAGAGGAUGAAGCUCAUUUUCAUAUGAAGCAGAGCGCAUACCUGUACAACCUUGGUGUUCACACCAUGCCCAAAAGUCAUCAUUGCCUUAAUAUGAGGUUGACAGUAGAAUAUUUUAAAUCCACACCAUUGGAUCCAGAUGACUCUCCUGCCCAUAAGUUCAACAUUCCAGACCACAGGCACUAUGUUAUAUUAUCUAAAAAUGUUCUUGCAGCUUCUGUUGUCAUCAACUCAACUGUUAGUAGCUGUGAGGUACAUAGAAAGUUUAUUCUUUAUCUUUUUAAACUGUUCAGUGCAUCUUCUGGGUUCGGCAUUGCUGACAUCCCUUUUACCCUUUGCAGGAUACUGAAAAUGUAGUCUUUCAUGUACUAACCGAUGCUCAAAAUUUCUAUGCCAUGAAGCACUGGUUUGCAAGAAAUUCCUACAGGGAAUCAGCUGUCGAUGUCAUAAACUAUGAACAAAUUAUUUUCGAGAAUUUCCCUGAGUUCGGAACCCAGCCAUUGUAUUUGCCUGAGGAAUUUCGUGUCUUCAUCAGUAGCCUUGAGCGGCCUACUGAAAAGAGCAGAAUGGAGUAUUUAUCAGUGUUCAGUCAUUCACAUUUCUUUAUUGCGGAAAUAUUCAAAGAUUUAAAGAAGGUAAUUAUAUUGGAUGAUGAUGUGGUUGUUCAACGUGAUCUCUCUUUCUUGUGGAAUCUUGAUAUGGGAGACAAGGUCAAUGGUGCUGUCAGAUUUUGUGGUUUGAAACUUGGCCAAUUGAGGAACCUUCUGGGUAGGACAAUGUAUGAUCCACAGUCAUGUGCAUGGAUGUCUGGGGUGAACAUCAUCGAUUUGGACAAAUGGAGAGAGCAUAAUGUUACCGAGAAUUACCUGCAACUCCUGAGAAAGGUUGGUGUCUUUCUAAUCCAAUCCUUGUUUAAAUUCUAGUUGCUUUAUUCAAUAAUUUUAGCUAGCAUGUGUUCUUAGUACCAUGAAGUCAUGACUUAUCGGCUAUCUAUGAAACUGGAUUGAUUCAUAAUUAAUUUCGGUAUCAGCUUCUGGAAAAUAUGACUUUUCCUCACCAAAUCAUAUAAACUUAUCAGCUAAUACCUUUUUUUUCACUCUUAUGUUAUAGUUUGGAAACCAUGAUGACGAGGCCUCACUGCGGGCUGCAGCUUUGCCUAUUAGUUUAUUGUCCUUCCAGCAUCUUCUAUAUCCACUUGAUGAGAGAUUCACCUUAUCUGGACUCGGGUAUGACUAUGGUAUUAAAGAGGAAGUUGCCCAGAGUUCCAUAUCGUUGCAUUACAACGGAAAUAUGAAACCUUGGCUUGAGUUGGGUAUACCAGAUUAUAGGAAGUACUGGAAGAGGUUUCUUACACGAGAUGAGAGAUUCAUGGAUGAGUGCAAUGUAAGUCCAUAGUGCACUUGAACUUGGGAGACGGAACGUUUUUGACAGUAGAUUUUCAGUCUACCUGUACUAUAGACUAAGAGGACGAACACUUCCAUUGAGAAAAGACCUGGGAAGCAGUCACUAGCCAUCAAUUUUGACAGAGUAGAUCCAGCACCAUCUGUUCAUUGAAUUAGUGAGCUCGAUGGAUGGUUUUUUCUGCAGUUAGAGGAGUUAGUCUUAAGUUUGAAGGAUAAUGCAGUAGACAAGACGACGGCAGAUGUGUGGUGGUUCGGCUCCAGGUAAGGAGCAUCACACUCAGCAUCUAGAUUACGAGACAGGAAUGAUCGAUGGGGGAUUGAGGCGCCUUAAUUGAAAUUGGUGCCUUCCGCCUCAUUGAUGAAGGUUAAUUCUUUUCUUUGUUGAUUUUUUUGACCCCUCCAUGCUCUGUCCUUCUGUCAAUAAGGACAUACACAAGUUAAGAUUCAAAUUCUUUGUUCUUAGUUGUUGCACAUUGAUUGUUCUACCAUUAUUAUGUUGAUGCAAAGUAUAUUAUGAUGUCAGAGACUCAUCAGUUACAAAAACGAGAUUGACAGUUCUGUUUGGGUGUCUUCUGAGCACUCGCUCAUUUUCUCAUGCCCCCAGCAGAUUUUGUAUUCCUCUUCAUUUGUUGUGAUGAGUUCGCAAUUCGGUGUAACGGUUCACCUCUGAUUUCCUUUAUGUGGUCCAACGGGUCAUAUAAAGCGUUAACGAAUGCUAAACGUCGGUGAGAGCACACUACGGGGCGAGUUUCUUUCUUUAUUCCUUUCGUUUUUUUUUUUUUUGGAGAACUACAGGGCGAGAGUUGAUACUCGCUGGGAGUCCACUGUAACUCCGCUCCUAAACCAUGGUGCAAUGUGAUCGUGUAAAGCUACAAAGCAAGCGAACUGCAAAAAAGCAUCAAUGAGCUCGAUGCUCGAAGAAGCUGAUGUAGUCCGCAUGCGAGUCCACCGAACUCUUUUAAGUGGAGUGCAUUAAACAGGACUAUAGGACCUGUAUUCCUUGCUGUCAUGUCACUCAUGCGAGGUACCGUCUCUAUUUUCAACUUAUUAGGAUUCGUGGUUUUAUUGUAAUCUCUAUACUAUUGCGCAAAUACAUGACAUAAGCCUAGGAGGCAAUGAUAGUAUCUCAAUUUAUUAGAAUUCUUAACCAAUUAAUAGUAUAAUAAAUCAUGAAAUUAUUAAUUAAUUAUCAGCACUAAGUCACCCUUCACUAUCAAUGUGCAAGUUUAUGAGUUUAGGUAUAUUUUACCCACAAGCAUGUGGGUAUGGGUAGUAUGUUCCUGCACCCGCUUACUCGAUGGGUAGAUGACAUUGCCCAUUAGCAAGGGUAAAGAUACGUUUCCAUACCCGCCUUCUUAUCGGGUAAAACUCCUCGGUUUCCCAUUGCUAUCUCUAUGCAUGGAAGAUCUACAUAAUUUUUCAAUGGCUGAUAGGCAUGGAGAGAAUUAUCUCUAUUAUCUAUGAACGUGUUCUAAAACAAAUUGUAUCUGACAAGAAGAUAGUUGGUAUACACAUUAUAAAUUUUGGUUAUACGGUUUUUGGGUGGUGUGUGUGUGGGGGGGGGGCAUAUGCCCUAACCUUGCAAAUUUGCGCAUAAAUCUAUUCUUAUAGUGUUUGAGGUACAAUGACAUGGUGUAAUAAAAUAAGUCAAACGCUACAUUUUUCUCACAUUUAGGUUGCACGAAAGAUCUUAAGCAUAGUUUGGUGACACAUUGCACUAUGUAGUAAAUUCGGAAUUAGCUAGCAAUAUAAAAUACAAAAGCAAUUUAUUUCAAAUAAUAUUUAAUAUAAAAGCAUGCUAGGCUGGUAUUACAAUGCAUUCGCAAGCCAGGUAUUUGAUAGUCCUACCAUGAGAUUAUUAUUAUGGUAAAUCGACUAAUUUGUUGGAUUCGGUAAAGUUUACUUGUACGUAUUUCCAUACAAACUCUUCGUACAAGCAAGUUUGAGAUGUUUAUUAAAACUUGAGACAAUCUUAUUUACAUAAUUUCAUCAAAUUAAACCCAAAAAUUAAAUUUUCAUUGACUAUAAAUCCAACAUUGUGGUUAGAAUACUAAUGGUUGAAUGCCAUGUUAGUAGGUUCAAAAUGAAGAGCCGAGAAAAGAUUAUAAUGAACUAUAUUGACCCCAUAUUAUAAACUAAGAGGUAUACAGAUGGAUCAUAUGGACUAAGUCUACUUUAGAACAUCCUUCAUCGCAUCAUGUGAAUCCUUCAAAUGCUAUAUUUUUCAAUAUAUUUUUUUUAUUCUAGAUCUAGUUAAUUCGCUCCCACAAAAAGUCGAACCUAGACCUAUUGGAUGCUACUCAGGUGCUCUAACCACUAGACUAGAGACCCUUUCACAUUCAAAUGCUACAUUAUCAUAUCUUAUUCUUGAAAUAAUACUUUAUAUAUUAUGUAAUGUCUUUAAAAGGAACAAGAUACUUCAUCUAGCCCUACGAAAUGUCAUUGUAGCCUUACUCAAUGGUUGGUAAAACCCGUGUUUGGGAUUUUAGGUGGAGUUUGGACUAUUUUGCCGCUUGAUUAAUAUGCAUGCAGUUCAAAUCCCAAAGCAGUAAUAAUUGGCAUGCAUCCUUUGUUUGUCUCAUCUCACGCCUCUCUUCAGUGAACAAAUGUUAGACGAGUUUGCCAAAACAAACUUCUCACUGAUGUUGCAUGCAUUUCGUGUCUAGCACGUAAUGAAGGAAAACUCUAAUACACGGCCAAAAAAAAAUACAAGACUUAUGAAUCAUGGCUAGGAUUUGACCUUGAAAGCUCAAAUUCCUAACUUAAAAGUUAGGGAACUAACCAUCCUAAACUAUUGUAUUUCAUGACAAGGAUAGAGCUCCCAUGCAUCUAAUAAGGAUAGAAAGAAUAUUAUAAUAAUUCAUUAAUAGGAGAUAUAAAAUAUAGGUAGUCAAAUAUGACAUAGUAAGUUUAUUUGUGUUUUAAUCAACCAACUAGGAUUUGGGCUAUCUUUCAUAACAAUAGUUUUCUUUGAUUUUAGUUGUACAAUUUACUUGUCAUUAUACAUAAGAGUUUAUUUUUCGAAUAAUGUACUAAUAAGUUUAAUUGGUCUAAAACUAAUAUUUGUCAAGUUAGGUAUACACUAUAAGAAAGGGAAAACAACAAUUUCCAUAUGGAUGUAUACCUCUAACAUUGUAGGGUGAUUUUCACACAUAAUGAAGUGAACAUUGAUAUCACUAUCUUAGAUUGCAAGGGGCAUAUGCCCCCUUGCCACUGUUGCAAUUAAUACGGGUAUGGUAAUGAGGGAUAUGGAUACCCAUAGGUCCCUACCGACCAGGAUACUUGCCGAACCUGAUAAGUGGGCCCGCUCGACCAGGACGUGCGGGCCGAGGACAUGAAUAUACUUGGAGUACACGCCAAGGCAAUUAGACAGUUCAAAUCUACCCGGAUAUAGUGGAACACGUAUUGUGGUCCGACUCAGAUUACCUUCCAUGUAACUACCGAGUAGAUUAGAUUCAAACCGACUUAUAACUCUAGGUCGUCAGCCUAUAUAAGGCAGCCAAGGGCACCCCCGAGGGUAACCCGAGCAAUCAAACCUCAUACCAGCAAUACAAUCCACGCACACAGGACAUAGGGUAUUACUCUCCGGAGGCCCGAACUUGUCUAAAACCCUCAUGUCCCCUUUGUGUUCUCGCGAUCACCUUCGAGUUCUUGGUUUCAAUCGCCCUCAUCUACAAAUCAACCACUUGGCUAACCCCUGGUGGACUGCCGGGCUAGUAAAUCCAACAGGUAACACUUGGUGACAUCUUAUACUAAACCAUGCAAAUUUGUUGAUAAGAAGACCACCACCUGACAUGCCCAUGUGAUCGACUCUAGAGUUAGGAGUAGUGGAUGGUGAUAAGUAUCCAAUGAAAUAUUUAACAUGGUUGAUGUCAACUUACACAGAGAAACAACGUGGAACUUGUCUUGGUAAGAUGAUGUCAUCCAUAGAUGUAAAUAACCUAUUUCCUUCUAUUGUCUUAACCAUAACGAUCUGGGCCAUUUUAUCUAUGGUUGCUACAGAGCUGAUGUGUUGGUCAUGAACUGAAAUAAGCUAGCGAGAGCUAGGUUCCCUUUAAUUUGAGUUUGAGGAAAGGUAAGUAACAGAUCCAAACUUGAACAUUUAUGGAUGCAAUAUAGGAAACACCUUUGCUACAAUUCUAGAGUGUCUUAUUAGGAACAACAUAAAGUCUAACUUACUUAUUCAUGCUUAUUUGUUGGACUCAAGCUUUAUGCCCCCCCUUUAUUUGGUGAUUGCAUUACCUUGUUUUAGAGUCACAUUAGCCACAACCCUAAUGAGAAGAUGAUGUGUGAAUCGGAUAAUCUUGCUUAAGUCAACUUGUUUGCGCCUCUCCAAUGCAAAUCGAUCUAGUCAAAGCCAGUUAGACUCCAGUGGUAAUGUGUCAAUGCAUGGUGGAAUUAUUGAAGGCGAUGUUGUGCUGAUGCUAUCCCCGCUACAUGUGGAUUCCAAUGAAAAAGGAAUCCAUUCAUUUUGUUUGACUGAUAAGGCAUUAGGAGUGCUGAUAAGAGAUCUCUCGAGCUGUUUGCAGCGAGAGAAUACAUCUUGUUGAUGCUAAGGCUAGUCCCAGUGCAAGGUUUCAUUGCACUAUUUCCAAGGAUGCCACAUCAUCCCAUGAGGUGUAUUCUCAUGAAUAAAACAGGGAGUCCCAGUGCACAGUUUUAUCUCACGAUUUCAUAGGAUGCCCAUAACAUUUAAUUGUGAGGCAUGUGAUUGGCUAUGGUUAGAUGAAAUGAAACUCUAUAGCCCCCAAUGCAAGUUUCAAUAGGUUUCAUAUUCUUGGAAACAGUGUAUACACAGUUUCAUCCUGAUGAAACUCCUUCCCUCUCUCACUUCAUAACUACCAUGCCAUGUCAUCACAUAUGCUGAUGUGUCACCGUAUUUAAUGUGCAUGAAACCUCUAUGAAACUCCCACUGGGAUUAGCCUAACAGCAGCCGCAGCAUAUAAUCCAGGGGUGGUGCUAGGGAAUGACACGUGGUACAGUUGCAAAACUUUUGGUUCCUCUUAAAUGUAGAGCCACACAAUCCUAUCUAAAAUGUGGAUCCCAUAGAUAAUAAAAAAUUCCUCAAAUAACUUUCAUCUUUCUCCUUUCUCUCACUGACUUUCAUACCCCACCACCCACUAAUUUGUAGCACUUGGUGCAAAGUGUAGCAUCCUAGCUAAGGGGUUGCUCGGGAGCACCCUCCUCCUCAGCGUGAAGUGUCCUAGGAAUCUUUUUAUCUCCCCUCAGAGCACCCUUUGAGUUAGACUCAAAGAGUUGUUCUCACUUGUCUUUCUAAUCAUCCGCCGGUGGGAUAUAGGUAUUCCUAAUAUCAAAUUAAAUGAGGCCAAUUCUGACUGUCAAACUACACAAGUUCUUUAGGGAAAAUGGGUACAAGAUGAGCUGAUAGUAGCAGACCCAACAUAUAAUGAAUGUUGCUUGUGGAUAAAGAAACUCUUUUGGGUUUUUUUUUGGAAAAAUAAACUCUUUUGUGAUCGGCGAGGAAGUGUAACACACGACCCAUACCACCGAGGUCGUGCAUUGGGCCGAGCCCAUAAUCCUACAAAUGCUCCGCAAAGGACUAAUGUAUUCCCCAUGGCCAAUUGACUUCUACAUAGCACAACAUUUCAACGCUUACCUAUUUCUGCUCCCAGAAUAAAUUUGAGUUUGCAACAUCGAACAACGUUCGUGCAUUUUAAUAUUUGGUUCCUAUGCCGCUAGGGCAAAACACGAUUAGUUCGUGUUCUACCUCGGUGACCACCUCACCGCCGACCAAAUAAAACCUCUCACAACCCACCCAAACAAAAACAAAAGAAACAGGAAACAUGCAUGCCGAAAGAUAACAUCGCCAGAUCCUUUUGUCCCCCAUAAUUUCGGGGAUAACUCUUAUUGCUAAUGCUAUACACACGGCUACCAGAAGGUUCACAUUUUUCUCCUUGCCUAGGUUCCAUAGCUAAGGAUGGUCCAACUCAAUAGACUUACGCAUCAUUAGUAAUAUCCAACACACGGACGGUACCAAUUUUGACCAAGCAAGAGUGUUGAACAGCUAUAAUCUGAAUACUGCAGCUGAUGUCUUAACUAUCUUGCAGUUUGCGACGCUUCUCUAGGGAGAUCUUAGGUCCACCAUCUGCAGCUGCUUCGGGAUCAGAGUCGAUUUCAGAAAUUUUCUGUUUGACACCUAAUUUGGUCGACCGUUCUCCCAGUUCAGCAGUUCCAGGCCUGUCUCCUAUUCUGUUUCGGUCCAUGGCUGCACUACUAUCCUUGUUUGCAGAGUGGCUCGGAUCAGAUGAUGGAUUUGCUGAUGUAUCACCUGAGGAUGGAUCCUGGACCACCUCCGUGGUGGAUUUACACUGCUUUUCAAACAUCAUCUGCAAAUACUUUCCUUGUUCUUCAAUCCGCAACUGCAAUUUUCUCUGAAUCUGCAACAGGAAUAUGUGGUGUUAGGAUUUAGUGAAUUUCAUUCACAUUAAUGUUGAGCACAUACUCCAUCAUGUUAACAGCAAAGCAAGUAUGGGGGCUCGAAUAAUCCCAUGCAGUUACAGCUGCAACUCCCAGUAUGCAACAAAGAGCACAUGCAUGUUCCAAUUUUUUUUAAACUCCAAGAGUGUAAAAAGUGUGGCAUGCCAUGCUUUCAAGGGCAGCAUUUGGCGUAAAACCAAUGGUCGACUAUAUUUAUAACGAGUACCUCAAGCUGUUCAUGAAGACGCUUCUGGACUUCCAUCUGAAGGCGCAGCGCUUCAGUAAGAUCCAUGCUCCUAUAUAAGAAAACCAGCAUCAUGCAAGAAUAUUAAUCAUGAAGUGAUCCACAAAGAAAGAUGAUGCACUCUCAUAUAGUAAAACCUCAAAAUUAGAAUUUAUGCUUCAAAAGAAGUGAACGCACAAUGGACUCAAUAUGCAUAAUGACAAUUCCAGCACAAGGAGUUGGCAGUAUAUUUAGAGUAUGAUCUACACUCUUGAGUAUUAACAACCCUUUUUCUUAUCGAUUGUUAGGUAUGACAGAUCAUGAUUGUAAUAGUACUCUAUCCAUCCCAAAUUGUAGGUCGUUUUGGCUUUUCUUAAGUAGAGAUUUUGCUAUGAAUGUAGAUGUACGCUAUGUCUAGGUACAUAGUAAAAACUAUGUACAUACAAAAGCAAAAGACCUAUAAUUUGGACUGAGAGAGUAUUUCUUUUGGGUACACACAUAAGCAAGGUUUCCAGAAUAGAUUUGAAACAGCUCGUAGGCAAUUCUAGCCCUCAGAGUCCUUUACUGCAUGGGACAGUACGCAAAUUAAUGGAUGCAAAUGUUAUGGAUCCAUUCUGGUGGCAGUAAAACUUGAAUGCCCAGACACACUUAAUUAUCAUUAUGGACAAAGGGCAAAAGCAAAUUCCACAAAUAACAAUUGUCCAAUUACACAUGUAUAAAUUGGCCAGUUGAUCUAAACAGUGCUAUUGGCAAAGGAUACUUUUUAAUACUCUGCUAUCUGUUAAUGUACAUAGAACAAUCUUUUAUAUUCCAUAUUUCAGUGCUUCUUUACUUAGUGACAAUCCUUUAGAUUCCACAGUAAAAAAUGCCUAUAAGUGAAUCCCAAACAUAUAGACAAAAUCUUUUUCUAAGGCAAUUGUGAUUGUUAGUCAACACGACAAACUAUGGUCCCAAUUGUGAAUAAACUCCUGAUCUCAGCUUUGAUGCAUGUUGAAUCACAGUAACAUAAUACCAGUUAACACCAAAGGAGACAAAUAGUGCACCAUACAGUGAAAACAAGGGGAUAUAGCGUUAGUAUCGUUAUUCACUGACGUUUUCAGGUCCAGGGACAGCUCUUCAGUGGUGGUCCUUUUUUCAGAUGUACCUGCAUAACGAGUUAUGGAAAUGUUACAUUAAUGAUAAUAAUUCACACUGAUUUUAAUACAGUUACAUGUAUGCCUGCUAUUUGCAACAUAGUUCCUCACGACAUGGUUAUCAUGCCACAAAAAAGAUGAAUGUUUCACAGCCCCUAAGACAUCACCAUGCGUCGUGUGAAUGUACUCAACAACACAAAGGCAAUUGGGAAGAGUCCAAGUGAGAUAAACCUUCAGACAGGUCAGGUUUAUAGCGGGCCGUGCGGUACUUCUGCAACACAAAGCAGUUAGAGUUAAAAAAAAGUGAGAAUGUUUCCUUUGGGCAAGGAUACUACUGAUAAAGCUAAAUAGCAAACCUGCAGAUGACUUUUGACAUGAUAUAUUGUCAAACCAUCAACUUUCAUAAGCUUGAGCACACCCUUAGGAGUAGCUUCUGAAUAGGCAUAAGACAAGAUAAAUAAACACAUGCACUAAAUGAUGUAAUAUAGGGCUUAUAACUUAAUCAUUUGAGGGAAUUUGGCAGCGGAACAGACAUACUUUCGCUACCGCCAAGCUGAUUUACAGCAUCUACAAAACAUUCAUGAAGUUCUGGGGUCCAUCUCAUCCGUUGUUUAGCUGCAGAAGCAUUACUGCUAUUGGGAGGACUAGCAACAGGACAAAUCUCCCCACUAUGAGAUGAAGCUGACUGGUUCACUGCAAGCAGUGAUGCAAUUGAGUUGGAAGGUUGCAUCAUGGCCUAUAAAAUAAGGAAAAAUAACGAUGAAAGAAACAUAAGUCAUUAGGACAAGUGUCACAUAUAUGGGUCUACAACCAUCUUAAAAGAACCUGGACCAUGAAAGUCUAUUUUGUACCAAAGAGGAGAUGCAACAACAUCAAUUUGAACUUCCAGCAGUACAUUUAGCAUUAAUAACACAAACAGUCCUUACGGUUCUAAAAUGGUUACACAAGUGGUUAAUCUGUAAAGAUUCUAACAUGGUAGCUCAAGUAGUCAAUCUAACAUGUAUAGCACUAUACAAAACAAGAUACAGGGAAUCAUUCUGUUCUCUUUACCAUCACUUCAACAAGAUACCAUAACAAUUAUAAACUGAAGAGUUAGACCUAAUUACUAGCACAACCUUAAGUUCUCAACUUCUCAUAAGGAAAGGGCAAGGGAACCCCCAUUAACUGAUGCAUGUCACAGCAGUAUCUACAAUGUGAAAACAAUCAUUAAAAUACAUAAUACAUUCACACAGACAUUUGCUGCCAGAAGGACUUAAUAUGUUAUAGUAAAGAUAGAGUAUUUCUAAACUACCAGAACAGAAGAUGGAGCUACAACUUCACUCAUUAUGGUAUUGAAAUUUGCGUACCUUUGACUGGGAAUCAGUAGCAGUUGCAUCUAAAAUAUCUUUCCAAUCAUCAUUCAUUAUCUCUGCCCACCAAUCAUUUUGUUUAGCAACCUCGUCAGAUGUCAUAGCAGAACUGCCACUCUGGAUCUGAUUAUCAGAAGCAGCAAUAUUAUCUGUGUAAACUGGUAAAACAUCCAUAGAAGAUGGGAACCAGGUUGCUUCAGCAUGGGCUCCUGGGGUAUUAUCAGAUAGAGACUGGAAAACGUCAACAUUGGAUGGCUGACAAAUAAAGGGAGAAACCAUAGACUGCGCCUCAUGGUUAGAAACAGAAUCAAGUGGAUUAGCAGAGUAGCCUGAAUAUGAUGCUCCGAUAACACCAGUUCUGGGUUGCAAAGUAUCAGAUUGAGGUGUGCCAUUAUGCAAGGGCAUAGAAUCAUCAGGCAACUGCCUUGACAUUGGAAUGUGCUGGGGGGUACAAGGCCUUGGGAAGCUCUCUUUCAAAGAAUUUGGCAAAAUAGGUAAAGAGGAUGACAUUGCUCCCAAAACUCUGCUGUUCUGAGACUGCCUUAGAUUAAAAUUCCUCAUUUAGAACAGUGCACAAACUUUGUUUCUUUCCCAUAAGCUGCUUUUGGUAACUUUCACCUCACUAAAAGCAUUAGUCCAUUACUCUGCAGGCAGAAAAAAAGAGAAGUUAAAUUAAAUAAGGGUAAAAUAGUGAGAGGUCAUGUGAAAAUAAGGUAAUAGCAACAAACAUAGCUUAGGGUGCGUUUGGCAGAGCUCCCAGAGCUGAUUCUCUAGCUGAAUCCAGCAGGAGCUCUGCCAAACAGUUUUUCAGAGAGAAGUGAUUCUCUGCUGAUUCCGUGAAGUGAUUCUCUGAAAUGAACUACGAGGCUGGGAGCUGAAAAAAGUAGCUUCCCCUGAUUCUGUGAAGUAAUUCUCUAUCCUGAUUUUAAGUGUUUAUGCUAGAGAAUCAAAGAGAAUCACUUUCAGCCACAUAAUCACUUCUCUCAGAGAAUCAACUCCCAUAGAGAAUCAGAAUUAGAUGGAGCUCUACCAAACAGGCCCUUAUAAUCCGCAAUUGAACUAGUGAGUAGUGACAUGUGGGUCAAAUAUCCAGAUAACAAGAAACGGUACAAUUAUGAAUUGAAUUAGCAACAGUCACAAAGUUGCAAGCUCUUUCACAUGGGUAGUCAGCAAUAUACAAUAGAUCACUCCUUCAGCUCUCCUUUUCAGUUUUUCUUUAAACAAAAUAAAAUAUGAAAAUUGCCCACUCUGAUGUAAAUGGUAGAAUACCAUAAAAUCGAAUGGAAUGGAAUUGAGAAAAGUAGAAAACCAUGGCAUUGGUGAUUGGUCACAUGCAAGGCAUAAUUUGAUCAAUGCAGAUUCAACAGCAUUUCAAUACUUUCUUCAAAGCUAGAAACUAUCAUCUUUUUUCACAUGGCACACCCACAUGCACAAUCCUACUGUGAUCAUGAUGCCAUAAUGGUGUACUGACGUUGUCGCACCAAACCCAACUCUCUUCCUACUAACAAGGCAAAGAAGGCAAUAACAUAACUUUUUUUUCCAUCCAAUUCUUAUCCUCACAAUCCCAAAUUAAGGAGAAGGAUGUUAUUUAAUACUAUUAUAGUAUUAUGUACAGACAAUCUGUAAGACAUUAGUAAUACAGAGCAAGGAAUGAAAUUCCAAUAUGCAUGUGCAAUCACUUCACAGGACUAGCACAUCUUGAGCUCUACAAGGGCAUGAUUGCUGGAUUAAGACUAAAUCCUUGGGGGCAAGCAAGUUGUUCCAAGGGGGUAGGACACGAUAUGGCGGAUGAUUGCAGCAGCUAUCACAGUGCCUACCUAAUAAUUGCGCUGAAAUGACGCCCCCCAGCGUAAUCCUACCCCACCAGGUCUUACUCACAUCGUUUUCUGUACGGCAAUCACGCAUUCACACUAUCACAAUCCACGAGCACGUGCACCAAAGCUGCUCCCCACCAAACUCGCACGCACGGAGCUUAAGCCCCGCGUCCCCUAUCGCGAUCAAAAACCCUAAGUAACCCCUCCGGCCUCCAGUCAUGUUCCAUCCGGCCGGCCGGAGUCCCGCGAAUCCGGUCGGAAUCGCGCCGGCGAGCCCGAUCGCGCCGGACACGGGCUUGGCUGCGUCGGGCGAUCGAGACGGCGCAGGCUGCACUGGACUGGACGGGGAGAGACGAGCGAAUCGGAGGGGUUGGGGAUAGGGCUCGUGCGGCGCGUACCUGGGGAGGAGGCGCGGAGCCCGGCAGGCCGCGGCGCGAUCGGCGGCGCGAUGCUAGGGCCGGCUGGCUUUCCGUUGGGGGAGGAGAGGGGCGCGUGGGAUGGGGGAAAAAUCUGGGUGGGGGGCGAUCGCCUUUUGCCGUCGAUCGCGGUGGGGGAGGAGAGAGAAGCUGCGGGGAGUGGGGGGAGGCGAGAACCUGGUGCGCAAAGAGGACGACGACGCCCACCAGUUGCUCGGCUCAAGGGGAGGCGCACCCAGCCCAGCCAGGACCAUGGUGGGGUGGAGUUUUUUUUAUAGGCCAUGUAGUCUCGCCGUAGAUGUACAGGGUAUCGUCAUCUCAAGACGACUUAACAGUCAAUCCAUAUAAUAGAUUGUUUUAUAAAUUAUUUGAUAAAACUAUAUAAUUCCUUAAUUUGUGUAUAUGAAAAAGAAAAAUAUUAUAAGUUGCAUAGCAACAAUAACUCGUACAAUGGUUGUUGAGUUGUCUCGUAAUCCUACAAUUUAGCUCAUGAGUCAAUUGUUUCGCGAAACAACAAUCUCUUUCUCUCUCCUCGCUCUCUCUCCUCCACGUCAUCAAAAAUUCUACGUGGCACUGCAUGAGACAACCUAUGAGACUGCUGACGUGUGGCAAUGUACUUGCUCUUAUGUGAAGAUACAUUCAGCUAUAUAUGGAAAAAAUAAUCCAUAUUUGUACCAAAUACUUGUUCUUCGACGAAUGACGAACGAGUACCGAGGAGUUGAAAAAAACUUAAAUCCCUGCGCUAAGUAAAGGUAGCCAUGGUUUCCGUCUUAUAAUUGGCUUCUCUAUAUGCAAAGGCAAUUUAGUUGUUUGCAAACUUUCUUGUUUUAACAAACAUUUUUAUGGUAUCUUACAAAUAUUUAUAGCAAUAUAAUAAAUAUACGAUAGCUAUCUUAUUAACCUAUAAAAAAAUUAUAGCGCAUGCACGAUACAAAGAAAUCAAUUUGGAAAUACAUGAAAUGAAUAGAGAGGACUACUUAUGUUUCCACCAUUAUAAUAAAAUCGAAGUUAACAAAAAGUUGGCAUGUAAAAUCUCGCAUAUUCCAUGAAUAGCCUAUGAAAAAUACAAUUAUCCAUUUUUGUCAGUUUUAUAACAUAAGGUUUUAUGAAUUUUAGACAAUCAAUGCACAAAUUAAAUUGACAUAGAAAAUAAUUUAUCCAAAGAAAAAACAAAAGUUCAACUAAAAUAUUUUAGCUAGUAAACUUGACAUAAAAAAUAAUUUUAAAUAAUUUAAUAUAGAAGUUAUCCAAUCUUGAAGCACAAAUAACUUUGAGUAAUGAAAUUGAAUAGCAACAUGAGUAUAUCAUAAAUACACGCAACCUCCGAUUAUAAAUAGAUGACAUCUUAGCUAAGAAAAGCAAGUCAACUUAGUUAAUUUUAUUUAGUUAUAUUGGCAGCAUGCUACUGCGUUUUUCGAAACACUACACUUUUCUUGCAUGCGGUAAGCCGAUAACACACUCUAUUCUUUUACGAGUUGAAUGUACAAGUCUCAAUGAUUAUCUCUAUGUAUGUAGUGAUAUGAAAAGCUGGUGAUUCUCUGACAUUGCAAAUAUAUUCCACAACAACUAAACACUAAGAGUGAUACGUAGAUGCUAGUAUUUUCCAGAGUGGCAUUACACAUUUGAAUAAUUGGUAUAGUCAUAUCAAUUUAGUAAUUGGUAUAAACAUUCCACGCCGGAACAAUGGAUAGACAUAUUAAUAUUUUUUAUUUUAUUCAGAAAAUUGUCUAUUGUCUCUGAUGUCCAUAUUAUCAUAAUUACUCUAAUAUUCAUUUUACCAUCAUCUUUCAGAAAUCGGUCAAUAUCAAAUUUCUUCUCAUAUUCUUUACUUGUUCAACGCGAUAUCUACCAAUAUAUACAAUUGAAGAGCCUAAGAUUUAUAGACAGGUAGACUAUAUAAUUUUUUUUCAAAAGAAUUUGAAGUUUAAAUUUCUUUUUAAGCAGUCUUCCAAAGUCUCACUUGCAGAUGGUUUUGCCAACAUGGUUCGACUCGACGGCCAAACUAGAGCUAAGGAGAAAAAAACACCCGGACCAAACCAAUUCCGAGAUCCACAGAGACCAGAGAAGGUUGCCAAUGGCGAAGCCGAAGAAACCCCGCGCGUCCGCCCCAGAUCCGCCCGCAGCUGCUGCCCGCCUCCCAUGGCACCCCCCAGCGCCGCCGGUCCCCACGGCCCUCCUCAUCUCCCUCGCCGCCCUCCUCGUCCGCGUGCUCGUCUCCAUGGGCCCCUACUCUGGCCAGGGCGCAGCGCCCAAGUUCGGCGACUACGAGGCGCAGCGGCACUGGAUGGAGCUCACCCUCCACCUCCCGCCCUCCGACUGGUACCGCAACACCUCCGACAACGACCUUGCCUACUGGGGCCUCGACUACCCGCCCCUCUCUGCCUACCAGAGCCUCCUCCACGGCCGAAUCAUCAACGCCUCACUGCCCGACGCCGUCGCGCUCCGCUCCUCCCGCGGCUACGAGUCCCCGGAAUCGUACGCAUCCGCUUCAGUAGAUUGUUUGCUGCUUCUUGCGUGCAGAACCUUGUGUUGUUAGCACCUGCUGUUCUUUUGGUUACAAUAGGAAGUUGCUGAUGCGGUGGACGGUGCUGUCGUCGGAUCUUCUGGUGUUCUUUCCCGCAGCAUUGUGGUUCGUGUGGGCGUACAUCAAAGGUGGAAUUGGUACUAGCGGGGAGGAGAAGCGGGAAGGGUGGUUGUGGCUGCUGGCCAUGGUCCUGAUCAGCCCCUGUUUGGUAUUGAUCGAUCACGGCCAUUUUCAGGUGAGUUGUUGUUGUACUAAUGAUCUGUGUGAUUGAGGUGGGCAGUGGCGUAGACUGUUUUCCAUUGUUCGUUUAUUGAUACCUAGCUGCGUUUUAUUUCAGUAUAACUGCAUCAGCCUUGGACUUACGCUUGGAGCAAUUGCUGGUGUUUUGUCAAGGAAUGAACUUAUUGCUGCAGCUCUCUUCACUCUUGCAAUCAAUCACAAGCAGGUCAGGCUCUGUCUAGAGAAUCAUAUUCAUUCGACCAUUCAUAAGCUCUGUUACCAACUUACCAUGCAUGUAAGGUCAACUUUCUAGAGAACACUUUAUGUUUGCAAGCCCACGCCUUUAGGACAAGGUGGCAUUGCAUAACGGUAGUCUACUUAGCCCGAGAGGUUCUCAAUUGUCAUUGUAAAUACAAAGCAGACCUUAUAAUCUAACUAAAAAUUGUGUAAACAAACCAGUAAAAUUGUUAGUUUUAUUGUUUGCCUUGGGAUGCUUGGAUCCCAGUGAACAGUUAUGAGACCUUAAUUUAUCCCUGUUAAUACACUUGUUGGUCAUACUUUCAAGUUAUGAUAUCCCAUUGUCUUCCUAUGUAUCUUACAAGAUGAUAUGCUGCAGAUGAGUCUGUACUUUGCACCAGCUUUUUUCAGCCAUCUUCUGGGCAAGUGCCUCAAACGAAAAUAUCCUAUUGUCGAAGUCAUGAAACUUGCUUUUGUGGUCUUGGGAACUUUUGCUCUUGUCUGGUGGCCAUUUUUGCGUUCUUUUGAAGCUGCCCUACAGGUGAUGGCCAAUCAUACCCUCCUAGUUGCUUUGUGUUCAAAGUAAACCAUGUUCUAUUGCUGAAUUACAUCAAUAAAAUCUGUACAUUUUUUUUGUUAAGCUGUACGUCAUGUCCUUUGCGUGAUACUUGUUUUAUAUUUUUAUAUGUAUAGACCUAGUACACUGCUUGUCAGUCGAUACUGAGCUUGUGACGUCUGUAUUAUCAGGUGAUCUCUCGAUUAGCUCCAUUUGAGAGAGGUAUAUAUGAGGAUUAUGUUGCAAAUUUCUGGUGCAGCACUUCGGUUAUUAUCAAGUGGAAGAUAUUGUUUGCGAUUAAACCACUGAAACUUAUGAGUCUCUCUGCUACCGUACUGGCUUUCUUGCCUUCAUUUGUUCAGCAAGUCAAGUCUCCAAGUAAUCUUGGCUUCCUUUAUUCUUUGAUGAACAGCUCAUUCUCUUUCUACCUGUUCUCAUACCAAGGUAUGUUUUACUGUUAAAUUGGUAAGUUAUCUUUUUGGUUGUAAGUAUAUAGUGCCUAAUUAAUUUCAUGUCCCCACUUGUUUUCUAUCUGCAGUUCAUGAGAAAUCAAUUUUGCUUCCUCUUUUACCUGCAAGUCUUCUAGCACUAAAAGAACCUCAGAUGUUCGGAUGGUUUGUGUACUUUGCCCUUUUCUCAAUGUACCCACUUAUCUGCCGUGAUCAGCUUCUUCUACAGUAUAUUGCUGUUCUUGGCCUGUUCUUUCUCAUAUACUACUCACCUGGUGGAAGCCACGGAAAGAGAUUUAAAAUCUCAUGCGGGGCAAAGGUAGUACUUAGCUUGCCAUUUUUAUGCUCACUUUUACUUCACAUUACCUACCUGCAAAUAGAGCCUCCCAAGAGGUAUCCCUUCCUCUUUGAUGCGCUGAUAGUGUUCGUCAGCUUUUCACAAUUUGUCAUCUUAACUUUGUACACCAAUUAUAAGCAAUGGAUGUUGGACACCCAUUCUAGAUCAGUAGGUGUGAAGAAGGAUCUAUGAUUGGAAAUUUUGACAGCUAAUUUUACAGAGAAAGCCACUGCACCUCUGUAACCUUGUCUGUAUUCCCUUGUAACAUUGAUUCAUUUUUGUUGAAUGAAAUGGAUGAGGUUUUGCUCAUUGAGCAAAUGUAUACAUUUCUAUAUAAAAUUUGAGUAAAAAUUGCCGUGUACAACUGUGAUAGCUGGAAGUCACAAUUUAUAGGCAAUGAAGAUGAAGACUCAACACGAUAGCUUUGAAUUACUGAUAUCUUUUUAAGUGUCUGUGCCACUGAAAUUGCCAAUGCUAGUAUCUUGUUUGGUGCAAGUGUGGAAACUGGAAACUGUUACCUCCAGUUACCUUGCCCAGAUUGCCUCCCUCGCCAAAGCAAGGCAAGUUUCCCUAGGAUUGUUUGCUUCACCUGUCCUCUGUUUCCUCCCUCCUACCAAAAUGCCAAGACUGAGGCACUCCAUUGGAUGGAGCCCUGUUUGAUUAGGGCAAGGGAAAGGGGUUGGCUCAGAUGGUGAGUUGAGGUGCUCAGUUUGGGCGGAAAGGAGUCUGAUUUCAUAGGUCGAGCUCAAUUUGGGUGGUGAGGUGCUUAAUCUUUUCAGUCGCCAUUUAGGUUGUCCCAGUAUUGAAGCUCUGGAGCAGCAAACCUCAAGUAGCGAGAGCAACCAGAUCAAGGCCACAUUGCCAUGCAGGAGUCAAUCGGCCCUCCUGAACGAGCGAGGAAAUUGCUGAGCAAAGCAGACUACCAAUUAGUCAGUUAUCAAAUGCUAACCUUGUCGAACUUGGCGAGGUGAGGCCAACUGUCACCCAGGAACCAAACACACCUAUGUUAUGUUUUUGAUGUCAUCUUUGUUCUGUUACUGCUCUAUUCCAUAACCAACAGUUAGUAGCACUUAAGAGACAGAUAGAUUUGCUCUUGAUGUUUCUUCUAAUCAUACAUUAGAACAACACCAUACAAAAUCACUAGUCCCCAAAAGUAUUAAAGUACAAUAGAAAAAAUUCUCCGUAUCUCUACAUAUUCGUCAAGCCACUUGCUGGGGGAUGAAGAAAAAGGGUCGUGCCAAGAGAACCCGAAUCCAGAAAAAUCAGCUACUGUGGUUCGACCCUGGACUGGAAAGAAUACCCCCCACUGUAGUCAAACGAGUCGGUGCUCACGUCCUUGUCCUUCUUUGGGAGAGGAUCAUUGUAAGGAUGGCGAGGAGCCCCCUUGGUGACGUCGAAUUCGGUCGCGGACGUCGAGGCGGACGUGGAGGAGCUGCUGAGCCCCUCGCUCUGCAGCAUCACCUCGAUCUCCUUGACGACCUCGCUCAUGGACGGCCGGGCCGUGGCCACCUCGUCGACGCACCGGAGUGCCAGCUGGAGGAACUUGCUGAACGCGGCGAGGUGGUUGGUGUUCAUGAUCCUGGCGUCGAUCAUGUCCUUGAGCCCGCAGAACUCGGCGUCGGAGGCGUCGAACAUCCUCUUGGCCUCGCGGACGAUGUACUUGCCCUUCUCGAUCGGCUGCUUCGCGACGAUGAGCUCGAGCAUGACGACGCCGAAGCUGUACACGUCGCUCUUCUCGGUCAGCUGCUGGGACAUGUAGUACUCAGGGUCCAGGUACCCCUGCAGGUGAAGCAAUCAGUGCAAGGUCAGGAUCACCGGAAGAUCAGAGUCGUCCUCGUUGGCAGUAGCGGGUGCAGUGACAGAGCCUGAUGAAAGAGUCGUCGGCUCGGCGUACCAGUGUGCCUUUCACUUGGGUGCUGACGUGCCCCCUCUCGCUGUCGGAGACCAGCUUGGAGAGGCCGAAGUCGGCGACCUUGGCCGUGAGGUGCUCGUCCAUGAGGAUGUUGCUGGACUUGACGUCCCGGUGGAUGAUGGGCGGGUCGGCGAGCUCGUGGAGGUAGGCCAGCCCGCGCGCCGCGCCCAGCGCCACCCGGAGCCGCUUCUUCCAGUCGAGGUGCAGGCCGCUCUUGCCGGAGAGGCUGUCGCGCAGCGUGCCGCCGGACAUGAACUCAUAGACGAGCAUCUGCUCCCCCUGCUCGAAGCAGAAGCCGACGAGGCCGACGAGGUUCUUGUGGUGCACGCGGGAGAGCAGCUCGAUCUCGGUCUUGAACUCGUGCCCGCCCUGCAUCGACCCCUGCUGCGCCCUCUUGAUGGCGAUGAACUGCCCCGUCGGCAGCAUGCCCCUGUACACCUUGCCGUAGCCCCCGUACCCGAGCUCGUUCGCCUCGGCGAAGUUGUUGGUGCUCCGCUUGAGCUCCUCGUAGGAGAACCACCUCGCGCCCUUGAGCCGCGGCGCGCCGCCCCUCUCCUCGCUCCGAGCCCACGACGCUGCCGCAGAGGAGAUGACACGGCUCAUUCUCAGUGUGGGCGCGGCAUUGCCAGACGGACAUGGCCAAGAAGGAACGAGUACGUACCGAAAGGGCCGCCGAGCUCCUCCUUGGCCUUCUGCACUCGCCGCCUCUGCACGAACGCGUAGACGGCCGCCGCGGCGAGAGCCACGAACAGGACGCCGCAGCCGACCGCUAUCCCGAUGAUCACGCCCUUGCUCUUCGACGACGAGCCGCCCUCUGCGAUCAAUGUGGAAUCCGUGUCAGUGUGUCGUAACAAAAUUAAUCCCAUCAGUCUGCAAACAGCAUGAACGAUCGGCUGAACUUGACCUGGGAACGGGUACGGCGAGGCGAUGAAGUAGUAGGGGCCGAACUCCUUGGGCGGCUUGAACGUCUGGUUGCUGAGGUCGAAGCCGAUGCGCAUGACCUCGGAGCGGUUGAAGUAGGCGCCGCUGCCGGAAGGGAAGAGCUUCACCUGCACCUCCAUGUAGGAGUCGCUGUUGAAGAAGGGGUCCUGCAGGGAGACGGAGCCCGGGGUGAGGGCCAGCUUCGUCCACAGCAUGCUCUCCAGCGCCUGGAACGCCGUGCCGUUGGUCACGUCGUGGAAGAAGGGCGCCCGGAAGUACAUGAUCCCCUGGUACGGGUACGCGCACGAGCAGCUCUGCGGGCUCAGGCUCUGCCCCGCCGGGCACGUCCCCGAGAAGCACUUCACCAGGCUCGUCGAGUAGGGCACCGACAGCCCUUUCUGCGUCCCGUUGCAGUAGUUGGGCAGGUGCUCGCACACCGGGUUCCCGGCCAGCCUGAAUGGAAAUUGGAAACCCAAAUGGAUCAGCCACAGGAUCCAGAAGCUUCUGCGUUGCGUAGGAGGGUGGGCACUCACGCGAGGGUGCCAUUGUAGCUGGAGGUCACCGUGACGGAGGAGAACUCAUUGUUCUUGAAGCUCACGAGGCUCAGCUCGCCGCUGAUGCUCCUGCCCAGGUCCAGGGUGCCGUUGAGCGCGUUGUCGUCGAGGAUCCUGCAAAGCAAAGUCCCAACCAACCCGUUCCAAGUUCGUCAGUUUAUUUCACAGAUACAUUAAGUUCCAUUGGAGUUUGAUUUUAUUCCGAAGGUUGGUGAGUGAGCUCUUACACUUGAUUCAACUGCUGGUCGCUGAACAGCCUUGGAGACACGGGGCCGUAGAGCCUCCCGGACUGUAUGAUCCUUGAUGAUCAUCCCAAGAUCAUGUCAGUUUAGGCAUAUGUUGUGCGAAUCUGCAAGGUUUGAGGGAGAAACUUACAGAGCUGAGAGCUGUGGCAGCCUCCAAAACCACGCUGGGCACGGGGAAGGAUCAAAUGUGUUGUUGCUCAGAUCACUGAGGUGUAAUUAGACCAAAACAAUUUCAGAUUCCUUGACCAGUGGUAGGUUUAAAUAGCAUAAUAUAUCUUCAUGAUUCUGAUUGCUUACACGUAAUUGAGAAGAUCCAUCCCAGAUAGAUCUGGCAAUGUUCCAGUGAGCUGGUUGUUUGCUAAGUUGCUGAAACAUACCAAUACUGUGUUUAGUAUGAGUGUAUAUGUCUUCUCAUGCAGACAACUUCACUGGAACAAAGUAUAUGAUAUUGUGCAACUCAUGAACAACUUACAGCUCAUUUACUUUGGUGAGGUUCUUCAGAUUUGAAGGAACUGGACCAGAGAGGGAGUUUCUGUCCAGGCGUCUGUUCGAUCAACAUGCAGAGCAGAGGAAUGCCUGUCAAUUUCAUAUAUUGAUACAAAAUCAUAUGCAUAGGUUUAUCUGAACCAUUUCUUUUAGCGAAAGGGAACUUACACAACUUCAAGUGUACUAACAUAUCCAAGAGAGUCUGGGAUACUCCCGGUGAAUUUAUUUCCGUCAAAGAGCCUGCCACGAAUAUAUUAAGGUGUCAGUAAAUUUCGUCGAACUGCAAAAUCGUCCUGAAGCAGGAGUUUCAGGAGCUCACAGAUGGAUCAGCGUCAUCUCCGGGCUGAAGAGAGCGUCAGGGAUUGGACCAGACAAUUGGUUCUUGUUGAAGUGACUACAAACAAACAUUCAGAAGAACAAACAAGGGUGCUUCGGUUAGCGAUAUAUUCCAUCUUUUUCAGACUGGUGACUGAGAGAGGGAACAGCAGUAAACAAAAUUAUUUGGACCUACAAGUGUUUGGUUUUAAAAAGCUUGUCUAGGCCCAUUCCACCGCUUGUCGAAAUCGGCAGGGGUCCGCUCAGUUGAUUGUCAGCGAUAUCGAACCAGUAGAGGUUGGAGAGAUUGCCCAGCGAAGCCGGUAUUUUUCCAGAGAACUGAUUUGAGUUCAAUGCCCUGGAAGAGAGAGAUGUCAAGCUUCAUCGGAAAACAGUGAAAUUCAGAAGCAUAAAAAGGACAGUAUCAUCUGAACUGACUCCUGCACCUACUACAAGUGAUCCUUACAUGUAGGACAGCUUCGGCAGACUCCCUAGCUCAUCCGGGAUGGUGCCAUGGAAACUGCAACCGGCCAGAAUCCUGCGAGACAAGCAGUGCAUAUUAACAUCUCAGAAGGGAGAAGACAGAGGUUAACACGAAAGAGAAGAACACCGAACACGUCAAGAACUUACAAGGUGGUGAGCUGCUUCAAGUUUCCGAUGGUCGGAGUGAGCACGCCGCCGAGGUCCUUGUUGAAUGACAGGUCCCUGCAUGCACAUAAUUUGUCAAUGAUUCUCCACUGGAAGUUGCAAGAACAUAAAGAUUUAGCCGAACAGAGUGGUGCUACUUACAGGGAUUGCAGGCCAGAGAGUUGCCCUAUGUCAGCAGCUAGAACUCCUUUGAUGCCCAUGGUGGACAAUUUUCUGAAAGAGGUGAGGGCAGUGGCAAGGAGCCUCAGUAGAGUGAGUGUGCAACGGAAUUUUUGCUCUCGAGUUCUUGGUACACCUACAUGGAGAUCACUUUGUCGUUGGCGCACGUCACUCCCUCCCAUGGCGAAUCGCCGCAGGGGUCGUCGGACUGCCCCCACGUCGGCGGCGCGUUCUGCCACUGAUCCAUCAACGCCCUGAGCACAGAGGCUGCAACCAAACUCCGAUCAAUUCCAUUUCUUACUCGAACCAACAGAAUUGCUAUUGCUGUUGCUUGAUUAUCGACAAGGAAAUAGUAAAGCCAGAGUAGAGCAGAGCAAACUCGCUACGCAUGAGAAAGCAGUAUCCGAGAGCAAGCGAGCAUGGCCGAGAGAGCCAUGCAAGUGAAAUAGCUACUCACUGUCCUGGCUGUCCGUCAUGCCAUGGCACGCCCGGGGGACGCACGCCGCGAGCACGACGGCCACGGCGAGGACGACGAGCCCCAUCGUCGUCCUCCUCCCACCGCACCCGACCGCUGCUGCCUCCAUGCGCGAACAACAACAACCCCCAACCACGCCGAGGUCGCGGUGCGAGGUGCGGUUUUAGGUCGCCCGGUUCUCAGCAAAAGCUCGCUCGGGGGCGCAGCGCAGAACAACCACCGGCACCACAACCGAAGGGCAUGAUGCGCCUCAUGAUGGGAUGUGCACCCAAACGGGGCCAAAUCGGCAAGACCCGUCGUUGGGGCCGGGCCAGGGAGAGGUGGGAGGUGGCGACGACUUGACUUGAAAGCGAAGCCAAGCUCCCCCGAUGGCAUGGAGCAGUGGAGCACCACUGCACUAGGUCGCUAGCUCUCUCGGCUAGUCCAGGCACGCCCGGCCAGCCGGCCGGCCCAACCGGCUCGUCGCGUCGUGUCGUGGCGUCGCGCUCUCGCUGUCUGCACAGGAAAAGUCAUCAGCACGCGCGCGGGCGUAACCCUUGUUCUACGGCAAGUCCGACCUGAGGCCUGAGGAUGCAGCGACAGACAGUGCUGUGGCGCCGUACUGCGCUAGCAGUGCUUGUUCUCGUGUGAUGGUGCCUGGAAAGUUUUGUUUCCAUGGGGAUUAAAGGUGGUGAUGGCCGAAGGUUAGUGAUGAUGAGGGGUGUGAUUCAAGGGACGUAAAGAGGAUAGGCAACAUUAGGUGGGGACUAAAAAACUACAUUAGUGCCCAUCAUUGGCAUGUUCCGAUCUGCAAGGAUCUCUUGCUAUGAAUUUUUUUAAAAAAAAAUGCUACCAAACAGGAGGAAUUUCAUCAGAACGAAAAGAUUGCUCUAGGUGACAGUAUGUAGAGCAUGAGGCAUGUAGAAAAUCAUACUUCUGUUAGAAGCAAGCUUAGUGAAAAAGGCCGGAUGAAAUACUGUAGAGCGACCUGUCAUUCAUGGCACCCGCGCGAGGAGAGACUUUUCUGAACCAGAACGCAACGAGAGAUUGGUCCGGCGGCAGGAAGCCAUUUGCAAGACAGUCACGGUCGUUGGAGUGUGACCAGCUGAUAUUGGACUGAUAGUCCUUGUGCCGACAGUGAAGUCAAAAACGAUGCUGCUUGAAGGUGUAGCGAAAUGCCAGGUACCACGACAACUAGGUUUUUCCGAUAAGGGAAAUUUCAUUAAUCUUAGAUAGUUACAUCAAGGUGAUACAAAACCACAACAACUAGUUGGACCUGACAAGGUUUUCUCUGAUUUUUCUCGCAGCAUGGAAAAGAGCUGGCUGCAUGACUUCAACUCUGCUGUUUCGGAUAUAUAUCUCUGAUCUUUUAUCACGAAUCACCGUGACCUUCUGCUGCUUUUCCUUUUAGAAUAGAGACACACACGUGUCCACACACUGCUAUUUUCUUCAUACUUUUCAAAUUGUUUUCAACUCGUGUGUUCUUAUGGAUGCUGUGAGAACUGUAAAGCUAAGGGUUUCUGUUUGUUUCUACCCUCCUAAAACCUUACCUCCUAAAAAGUGACUAAAAACUGCUUAAAGUGCUAAACACUUCUCCUAAAAAGUGACUAAAAUCUUUUAGGAGGUCCAAAUCUUUUAGGCCCUCACCCCCCUCCUAAAACCGACUAAAAUCGGUUCUGGACCCUCCCUACCCCCGCACCCCCCGCACCGCACGUCAGAUCCCGCACCCACCCGCCUACCCUCCCUCUCUCCCGCCCGACUCCCGCCGCCCGCCGCCGCCGCCCAUCUCCUGCCGCCAGCUCCUGCCGCCCAUCUCCCGCCGCCCGCCGCCGCCGCCCAGCUCCCGCCACCCAUCCCCCCGCACCCACCCGCACCGAGACCCCACCUCCCCUCCCUCUCUCCCGCCGCCCGCCGCCGCCGCCCAUCUCCCGCCGCUGGGCUGCGGGGCCCCGGGCGCCAGGCGACCGAUGCGGGACUUCUUCGCCGCCUGGCUGGCCACCCUCCGCUCGCCGUUCCUCCCGCUGCUCCGCCGCGCGCUCUCCUCCUCGACCGGCUCCUGGGAUGACCCGCUCUCCUCCGCUGCCGCGGUCGUUGAGGCCCACUUCCAGGCGCACUGGUCCGCGCUCGUCGCCGCCGCGCGCCAGGACCCCGCGCGGGUCGUCACCUCGGGGGACUGGCGCUCCUCGCUCGAGCUCCCCUUCCUGUGGCUCGGUGACGUCCACCCAUCCCUCCUCACCUCGCUCCUCCGCACGCUCUCGCCCUCGCCGCCGCCGACCGCGUCGACCGCCGGAUCCGCGCCGCCGUCCCCGCCGUCUCCGACCGCCUCCGCCGGGCCCAGAAGGCCUUCGUGUUUUGGCGCCAGGGGCAUGGUGGGAGGUAGUGGGAGGGCACUAGGGUCAUUUUACCACUUCAUUCAAUGCCUUUAGUCACUUUUAGGAGGUGGAACCAAACAUACUUUAGGAGGGUGCCUAAAAACUGCCUAAAAAAUUUUAGGAGCUAAAACUUUAGGAGGAUGGAAACAAACAGGCCCUAAACAUAGAGAUCUUCUCUUUACCACUGGUUGUUCAUGCGUUUAACAGCAUGAUGGCGAUUUGUGAUGAUGGAAUGCUGUAAAAUUGCAUUGGCAGAUAGCUGCCUGAAGAGUGAUUUCGCGGCAUGGCUAGGACGCUUUUGCAAGAAUGCUUAGGCUAUUUUUUAAAAAGAAAGAGCAACAUAGUUUGUGCUAUUUUUUUUAAAAAAGAAAUAGUAACAUAGUUUGUGAUUAUUUUAAAAAAGAAGAAGAAGAAACGAUCAUGUUAAUUAUCUGCUGAGACUGAAUGUGCCUGGAAGAACAAUACCACAAGCUAUUUUUGAAAAGCACGCUCCAUUCUGUUACCUGCUUGUCUGAGUGUGUACAGAAGAAACAAUCACCAUCAAGAGGGUUGCACAGCAAGUCUCGUGCCUUUGAUGGCAUGAUGCCAGUGUUGAAAACAACCUAAUUGUCAUAGCCUUUUCUUUGGAACCUUUUAUGCCGGAAGGGAGAAAGAAAAACAAUAAGCAAGUUAUGCAACAGGUUUCAUGAAAGAAACCUCGACAUAAGGAGUAGAAACACACUGUAAAUGGGACCUUAUCGUUCCUAAUUUUGGGUUCCACAUAUACGGCACGUCAUCAUAUUGCUCCAGAAAAUUUGGAGGAUUUAGGCUUAAUCACUACAAGAUUAGCAACUUAGUUUUUGAAACGUUAGCAACCUUUCCCAGCAAUUUGUUUGCAAUUGUCCAAUAAUUUAUAGGUUUUUUAGUUAAGUUUACAUCGUAAUUGUGGGCAAUAAGUUUAUUGUUUUUUUUUGUUUUUUUGCGAGUGAAGUUUAUUGGCAAUUAUGGUCGUAAUUUGGUAGAACCGUCGCCGCCGCUCAGAAGAGAAAGAAAUACUAAAGAAGUAAGGAGCACUAAAAUUUAGCCACUAAUAAGAAAAAAUGUUGGAAAACAUUGAAUAUCUUGCAGUAAAUGGCUAAGAAUGUACUAAGAAAUACUGGGUCUGUAGCCUGCUUGCUUCUGUUGGGGGCAUAUUCCCCAUAUUCAAAGGGUCUACCAUAAAAAUUUGGAUAGAAGCUACUCCCUCUGUCCCAUAUUACUAUUCGUUUUGGUUUUUUUUACAUAUAUAACUUUUGCUAUAUAUUUAUUCAUAAUAAUUUAGGUGCAUACCAAAAGCUACUUAUCUAGAAAAGUCAAAACGAGUAGUAAUUUGGAAUGGAGGGAGUAUAUGUUAAAAUAAUUUGGAUUGUUAUAGGGUUUAGAGUUGGUUGUGUCUAUAAUUUCAACAUAGCUUGGUGGAAAGAUAUAAUGGCAUUAUAAGAAUCCUGUGGUUGGAUUAUACACCAUAAUUCAAGCUGUUUGGAUAGGCUACAUAUUUUUUAAUUCAUUUUUUAAAACAAAUAUAACUGAUCCAGACACUCCAUAAAUGUAGACAUCUUAGGAUCGGUUAAACUUUUAACUUGGUCCAGCAAUACGUAGAAAUAUACAUAUAUUGACAACAUAUGGCUGAUUCAUCAUGAAAAAUACUUUCCAUAAUAUUUAGUUUUCUUUAUUUAAAAGAAUAUGCUUUAAAUAGUGCAAGUCAAAGCGUCGUAUUCGGCAGUGUGUCCAUAUCUUAAAUGACUUACAUUGGAAGGGACUGUUUGCGGCUCAAGAGCAUCAAGCUUGCUCUACCAAAUUCUGCGGCUUUAACUAAAUUGGGUUAUCUUUUAAUUUGGUUCAUGAUAACUUUUUUUAAAAAAAACAAAGUAUAGAUGUAAACACUUAUAUACAUGCGUAUACACUCAAGUACUCAACAACAUGACAUACACACUCUAUUUUCAUGAGCACUUCACAGAGACUGAUGAAAAUGGGCACAUCUCCUAUACCGCUAAAACAAUAGCGCUGUUAACUCCUCAAAUAAAUUUAAGAAAAUUCAAACAUUCGUGCCAGAUCAGAUCUUGAACUUGGUACUUCAGUAGCCGGGUCGAAUGCAAACAUUUGGUGAGACAAAUAUCUUCCUCAAGCUCCGUCUCUGAUACGAACCAUAAUAGAUCUGAUGCAAGAGAUUCAACAUAACAUGGGGGAGAAAAAUUGCGAGCUCUUUUUUUCUUUGGAAGCUCUUUGCAUGAGGCAUGGGUGGGGCCCGUCCCGGCAAGCUCCUACUGUACUGCGGACUCGGAGCUAUGGGCAGUUCCCAUUGCAAGAGGAUUUUGCUCGGAAAAAAAGAGCAACUGCAAGAGGAUCAGAAACGCACGCUGAAGUUUCUGACUGAGCGUGCAGAGGGCUUCUAUCAUUGUAGUCGAGCGGGCCCUGCCGUUAUAAAUUCCUCGCUCCAUGGUCUUUAUGGAUAUGGUCGGAGAGCUUAUCAGAGGACUUGGUCAGACUUGAUGUUCUCAUGUAGCCGAGGAGGAUUUCAAUGCCGAUUGCGAUGGAUAUCUAAGGGCAGUCCCAAUGGGACAUUGAUGAUAGUUUCUAUCCCUCUUGAUUGUCAUGCCAACUAAGCAAUUUGUUGAUGUGGCAAUAGAUUUAUUAUGGAGAGAGAGAAACCAUUUCUUAGAGAGGAAACCAAGUCCUCACGCGCACCAAUAAGCCAAGAAACUAGCGAAUCUGCAUUGGGGAGACCCAAGUAGUUUCUUCUUACUUAUUGCCGGAUCCUUUGCGCUUGCACCGCUGCUACCCAUCACUCGAGCUCCUUUACAUGAUGCACAGAGGAUCUGAUACUAGAAGAGAGAAUGAUUGGUUGGAUUUUUGUUUAGACUCUAGAUAAAAAAAAGUUGCAUUGUGAAGGAUGAUUUCUUGAUACAAUAUUCUAGACUAUAGAAACUAGGUUGGUUUCCCAUUAGGACUGUACUAAGACACCAAAUCUCCGUCGAUUCUCUGGCAGAACGAUAGACGCGCGUUGAUCAGGACAUCACAUCUUUUUUGAGGGUUAAGGCAGGCCAGGGCCCAGGGGGACAUCUUUUUUGGGGGCCUUUUACUGCCUGAAAUACACGGCCUGGUUGGACCAGGCUGGAUUAUGUAUGGGCUCUUGGGAAGAAGUUGGGAUGCAUGCCGUAGCAGACUAGCAGCCCGUCAAGUUUGAAUUUUUGCCACUCCGACAUGCGACCGCUGCUGCUGUUCUCACCUUAGGCCAUCAUCAACGCGAGCAGCCAUGGUGGUUGGCUAAUGACUGGUGGCUCACUCUCAUUAGGAUUCAUGCUCUGGCGGUGGAUAUUCUCAGUGAUGACCACGCAGACGAACUAAUGAUAACGGGAGGCUGGCGGACCACCAUGUCGGUGUGUUCACGGUGGCGGUGAAGGUAACAACGACGGCAACGGAUGUUGAUGCAGAUGUUGGCGCUGAUGGUUGGUGGCUCACGUCUGUCUAUGGACCACAAGCGGACGAUGAGAAGGUUCUAUUCCUAGAGUAACUGCAGGCUAUUCGGAAUGAAUGCGAUGGUCUUUGCCUCUUUGGGUUGUCGCGGGCGAUUUCAAUCUGAUCCUCGACUCGGCGGAUAAAAACAAUGGCAGAGCUAACCGGAGGAACAUAGCGAGAUUUCGCGGAGUGGUGGACGAACUCGAACUCCGGGACAUUCAUCUGCAUGGGCGGCUGUACACUUGGAGCAACGAACGGACGAAUCCAACAAUGGUUAAAUUGGAUCGGGUGCUCACCUCCGUGGACUGGGAGGAGCGAUUUCCAUUCUGCUUCCUCAGGCUCUAUCCACAGAAGGAUUCGACCACAGCCCACUAUUAUUACAGUCGAACGCGGCACUCUCGCCUAAGCCAAGAUUUCGGUUUGAAGCUUUCUGGCCAAAAUUGGAGGGCUAUCUGGAGGCAGUUUCACGAGGUUGGCGCUGCACUGAUGACACGGCGGACCCAUUCCGACGCCUGGACAGCAUGCUUAGGAAUGUGGCUCGUCAACUGCAGAGUUGGGCGGACAAGAAAGUUGGCAACGUCAGACUUCAGCUCAUCCUCGCUCGGGAACUCAUCCUACGGUUUGAUUGUGCGCAGGAAAGAAGGGCACUAUCUGAGGAAGAGACAGAAUUUCGCAAACAACUCAAGGUUCUGUGCUUGAGCCUGGCGUCUCUGGAACGAACCAUCGCCCGGCAGCGUUCGCGGAUCCUCCAGCUGCAAGAGGGCGAUGCAUGCACCAAGUUCUUCCAUCUGCAUGCCAGUUACAGACAGCGCAAGAACUACAUCGUCAGCCUGCACGAGGACGAGACGGAUGCCACGGUUUAUUCUCAGGAAGAAAAAUCAGAACUGCUGUAUGUGUACUUUGAGAACCUGUUGGGAACUGAGCACGCUCGCGCAGCAACACUACACCUGGCUAAUUUGGGGGUUGAGCGUCGGGAGAUGCCGGAGCUGGAGCUACCAUUCACUGAAGAGGAAGUUUGGGGCGUGAUUCGUGAACUACAAGGCGCCUGGGCCUGAUGGGUUCACGGCCGCCUUGUAUCAGACGGCAUGGCAGAUCAUCAAGCCGGACGUCAUGCGCCAUCAACGCUUUCUACACGGUGGAUCGACGACAGCUCAGGUGUGUGAAUGGUGCUCUCCUCGUUCUGAUUCCAAAGAUCUUGGACCCAAAGAAACCAAAGGAUUACCGGCCGAUCAGUCUCAUACACAGUUUCCCCAAACUCAUCUCCAAGAUGUUGUCCAAACGUCUGGCGGUGCGACUCGGUGACAUGAUUACCGGCAAUCAAACGGCGUUCAUGAAGGGGCGAUACAUACUGGACAGUUUCAAAUAUGUACUGAGGGCGGCGGUACUGCUGAAAAAGAGGAAGAUACCCAAGAUGCUAAUGAAAUUGGACAUCUCAAAGGCAUUUGACACAGUGGCCUGGCCUUUCCUUCUAGAAGUACUUGAAGCUUGGGGUUUCGGACAGCGUUGGAGAGAUUGGAUCGCUUUGCUACUCUCGACAACCUCAACUAGAGUUCUACUCAAUGGCGAGCCAGGGCAUCCAAUCACACACUGCAGAGGGCUUCGGCAAGGAGAUCCACUGUCGCCGAUGAUUUUCAUACUGGUUAUGGACGCGCUGAACCGCCUGUUCGCCAAGGCUAGCUUGGAGGGCCUCCUUCAGCCAAUGGGGCACAGAUCGAUCAAGUAUCAGUGCAGCUUCUAUGCGGACGACGUGAUCCUCUUCGCGGUUGAUGAGAUGCGCUGCAUUGUCGCUAUUCUGGAGAUCUUUGGGACAGCGUCUGGGCUCAGCACCAACCUAAGCCAGUGCUCCCUUACGCCAAUACAUGGCUGUGAACACACGUUGGAGGUAAUACAAGAGAUUUUCCCAUGUCAGAUUCUACCACUCCCUAUCAAAUAUCCUGAGGAGGCUGCGCGUGGCGAGGCACGUGUAUAGGGUGGCAACAUCCUGAGGAGAUGCCCGACGACUGGUGAGGCGGUGCAGCGGUGGCCGCGUCCAAGGAGCAGAGGUCGAGUGGUGGUGCAUCUGAACGGCGAGCGCAGCGGAGGUGGAGGUACGGUGGUGUGGUGCGUGGAGGCACAGCGGUGGUACCAUCCUGGAUGGGCUGCCGUGAUUGUGGUUCGGAGUGUCAAGCCGUGAGCGUGCAACGAGGGGUUGGGAUACUUCGGGCGAAAGCCCUCGCCAGCGUUCUUGCUGGUGGAGAUGACGGCGGCGCCCUAGGGCAUCAUUUUCCCUAUUGGAGCAUCAUGUCUAAGCUACAACCCUGCUACACGGGUCCUCUAGGUGAAAACCCUGUCCAAAUCUUGGACGAGUGACAACGGUGCCAUUGGUGUCAUGCCCUCCUUAGAGGUGUCGUCUCUAGAGACCCAUCUCAUUUUGUGGCAUUGCUGGUCCAUCGGUCAUGGGCGGCUGCAGCUGGUCGCAGCAAUUCCGCCGCGUGGCAAGCUGGACAGGUGUUGCCGAGGCCAUAUGGAGGCGAUCGCAGUUAUGGUGGCGGCUAGGGGUUGUCGCAUGGUUGUCGAUUUUGGCUGCUUGCAGCAGACUGCGGCGGCUGGCGUUGCUUGGCAACGGUCAGUGUGGUGUAGGAUUGUGUCAGAGGAUGGUGCUUGCGGCAAUGACAUCAUGGGACGACUAGGCUUGCAGCGGACCGCGGCAGGUUGCUAAGCUUGGCUGGGCUAUUCGGUGUGGUACAUUGUUGGAAGACGGCCCAAAUAACUUCUCUGGCUUGUUGACACGGCGGCGGAGGCUAUUUGCGCGGAUGAAGCAACGAGGCAAAGUUGACCUGCGACGGCGGCUUGGCUGAUCGAUGGAGAUCUUGUGGAGCGGGGCAAUAUUGCUCACCACUCUGUCCGUGAUAAAAGAAACGGAUCCAUGACGUGGAGUACUGUGGCGGGUGUCGCGAGGCCCCCGCACGCGGUGUUUCUUCGAGGUGACGAGAGCGAGGUGGAGUCCAACGGCGGAUGUGGCGAGGCCCCCGCGCGUUAUGUUAUCGCGGUGGCGACUACGAGGCAGCCUACGAGAGGUCCGGAUUCGGUGGUACCACUCUUCAAGUGGAGUGUGGUGUUGCAGCAGCACUACAAUGGAGGGUCCCGUAUGGCGAUGGCCUUCUUGGUGCGGUGCAGUCUGCUUCUAUCGGUUCCCUGUCAACGCAGGGCCACGCCUGGAGGCAUGCCUGGAGGUUUCGGCGACUACAUGAGCGUGAAUGUUGGUGGGUGGCGCGGAAAAGCUUCAGCUCUACUGCCGUUGUCGGGCGGAGUUAAAUCUGCUUGAGAUGUGUUGAGUUCGGCGCGUGUUGAUGUCCCAAUCCAACCGACCGAUGUGUUAUUAAGUUGAGUUAAGUGCAAUGGCGUGAUGCGGUAUGUGUUGAUGAUCCAAUCCAACCUGCCGGUGUUUGUGUUGUUUUUUCAUUUGUUGUUUUUGCCUAGUCUGAGCUUCAUCUUCUUUUUAAUAUAAUCGGCAACUCUUCCGCCUAGUUCGUUUAAAAAAGCAAUUGGAUUGAGGUAUCAUCGGUGGCUCAGUUAGCCUCUACUCUGUAUGAGGCGGUACCACGAAGGAUAAGGCGUAAGCAAACAGUCGAGCAAGACCUGCUGAAUCGACGCUGGAUACGUGCAAUUCAGGAAUCCCCGUCCGUCCAGUCAAUAGUUGAAUACCUUGGGCUAUGGGAGCGGAUUUCUGAUCUACACUUAGCAGAUGAAGAAGAUGUCUUCAUUUGGAAAUGGACUGCUAACGGGCAAUUCUCAUCAAAAUCUGCCUAUGAGGCUUUACACCAGGGAAGUGUCGAGCGAGACGUAUCUGGAAAUCAUGAGCUCCUCCAAAGGUAAAAUUUUUCAUUUGGCUGGCUUCAAGGCGGCGGUUAUGGACGACGGAUAGGCAGCGUCGUCACGACCUCGAUGCAACGGAUGAAUGUUGGUUUUGCGAUCAAGAGAAGGAGAUAGCUGACCACAUUCUGGUAAACUGUUACUUUGCGAAAGAAAUCUAGUGGGGAGUCCUCAACUCAUACCGUUGUGUCUGUUCCUUUCCAAGAGCCAUACAUAUGCAGGAAUGAUGGAGCUUCAUGCGUCAUCGAUACCAGCAGAAUAGGAAAAGAGGAUUCGAUUCCUCGCUCAUGCUCAAGACCAGACACAUAUGGAAAGGAGAAAUGCAAGGUUGUUCAAAGAUGAAAGCAAAACAACAAAGGGUGGUGCUGUAGGAAGCCGCAUUGGGAGCCUCUCGCAUUGGUAGUCUGAUACGCGAGUAAUCAUCAUAAGUGUUUGCGCUCUUUCUUGUUUUGAUUGUCACCUGAUUUUAUGUAAUAGUCUCUUUUAGAACUCUAAUUUCAGGCGUUUGCAUCCCGUGUAACACGUUGUAAUCCAUACUUAUAACAUAAACUCUCUUCUGCUUAAUACCAAGAUGCGUAGAGUUCUUGCAUGUUCAAGAAAAAAUGAUAACGGGAGGAUGAGCCGGAGAGCAUAUAGGCAACGGAGGUUGUAAUAUAAGCCGGCUGAAAAAUUGAAAUGGCUGAUUUGUUGUAAGAAAAAAAUAAUGUUCGGUAGCUGAUAAGUCGGCGGAUAACCUGAGCUGAACAUAGUGUGACAAUGUAGCGGCGAGCCGGCGGCAGACGCGCAAAGCAACAGCAAGGAACCUUCGACUUUGGUGGAGUCCCCCGUCACGGCGUCACGUGAAGACCACCACUCCACCAGCAAUAAACCAGCCGAGGGCCCGAGCCCCUCGCUCGGCGCGCCUUCAAAGCUCGGGCUCCGUGGCCCGUGACGCCGCCCCGCGGUUCCCGCCCUAGCACUUCGCUUGGCGCGCCGCCGCCCCGCUGCCUGUCUCCAGCUGUCGUCCGAAGCGCAGCUCUUCACGCAAGCCUGCCGGGCCAUGGGUUUCCUGCGGCCAACGGCAAACCGGGGUCGUUUCGUGUGUUCUGCGCUGCCCGUCGCGCCCACCGGCAACUGAACUGACAGCUCCCAAAAUGUCCUCCGAUGAUUAGUUGCUUUCACGACGUUCCAGCUUUGUUAUCGUGAGAAAUCAGUAGUUGUUCGACCAUUGCCGAUCCCGUAGCUCGCACUAGAGGUCGAAAUACCAUCGGCCGGCUUGGACCACGGAGUACGCUCGCGUUCCUCUACCGGACCAGCAGGUGAGGCUGCUCGCGGUAUCAUCCAUCGUGCUACGACGCACUGGGCUGCUGCGACAGCUACACGGACGAACGAGAGCAACACUUCAUCGUUGUGUUGGAAAGCAGCAAAAGACAGGCGCUACGAAUAAACAACGCCCGACUAAAAUAACUUCAGCAGCAAGGUUUUCACGACUGCUCGCCACGCCAAAUCGGCGCUGCACGGGCACGAAGCCAGUGGCCACGAAAGUAGAAACGGGAAAGUGCCCGCUUUCGGCAAAGCCCGGAUGGAUCAUGGAUGGAUGAAUGGCGGUUCAGUCGCGUCGCCCUCCCGUUUGCUCCUCCGCGCCGUUUGCCUUGCCUUGCAAGAGAGCCGUCUCAUCCCCAAUCACGACUCCUCGUGAUAUCCUCUCAUCUUUUCACGAACAGACUAGUCUAACGGUCUGAUUGCCCGCUAAACUAAACUUACUGUGCAAGGAGAAUGGCUCGUGCGUGGUCUCCAUCGCUUUUUGUUAGCUGCGCUCCGUCCCUUUCCAGCGCAGUUACACCUAACCGAAUCCAGGAGCUUCCGGAUCAUGCGUUGAUCCGCGAGCAAUGGCCAAGUGCUGGAUGCCGGGAGGAACAAGGUAUCACUGCAGGCGGGUGCCAAGCACGGCUCACCGAACCCACUCCACUUGCGUUGCGUGCAGGGGUACACUCCUCGACAUGAACAGUACCGGAUGCAACAGUUGGAACUGCUGGGUCGUACAAGUGUGCAACACGAUCUAGCGGGACAACGACCUUGAUAAUGAAGCACCAACAGAACUACAGAAGCACUUUGGGUCACUGAGAAAAUAGAAAAACAUUAUCUUUUAUUAUAAAAAGGAAAAAAUAAUGUACUGAAUCAGCAGGAAGCCAACAACUCAGAUUCGCAAAACAUUCUAGAGGAAUCAGUUUAUAAAAAACAAUUAAAGGUAACGCUGAACCUGAAACAGUUAAACCUCUGCCGAAAGCCCGAAGCCCCCUGUUAACAGCAAUAAAACAAAGACCCAGCACCAAACAGGUGAGCACGAAGCACGCGUGGACGAGGAAGACCGGGGAGUCCACGGUCAUUACUACUGAGGCAGCAAGAAAACAAAUCUGCUUAUCCCGUAAGCAAUAUCAGCAGCAAGCAUCCGCCGCCGUCCCCACACCCAACUCCACACUACUCCAAACGCGCUCCGUUGCCCAACCCGCCGGCAGCCAAAGUACAGCAGGCAUGCGUCCCUACCCCUGAUAUCCCACCCCCACCACCACUCCGGCCGCCUCUCCCCCAGCAAACCCCAGUAUCCCACUGCCCCAUAGCCCACAGCUCUUCCCCAGUUCCCUUUCCAUCCAUCGCCCUUGCGUCGCCGGAAGAACGCCGGAAAAUCGCCCCGCGGCCGCCGUGCCAGAGGCGUCAAUCGGCGCGGCGGCAUUUGUUGCUAGCUAGUAGGCGGGGAGGGGGGCAGGAUGAGCAUGUACGGGAGGGACCCGUGGGGCGGGCCGCUGGAGAUAUGCCCCGACUCGGCCACGGACGACGACCGCAGCCGGAACCUGGACAUCGACCGGGGCGCGCUGUCGCGGACGCUCGACGAGACGCAGCAGAGCUGGCUGCUGGCGGGGCCCGGGGACCAGGGCCGCAAAAAGAAGAAGUACGUCGACAUCGGCUGCCUCGUCGUCAGCCGCAAGCUCUUCGUCUGGACGCUCGGGGUGCUCCUCGCCGCCGCCGUCUUCGCGGGGGUCGUGGCGGGGAUCGCCAAGGCCAUCCCAAGGAGGCACCGCCCGCCGCCGCCGCCAGACGACUACACCGUCGCGCUGCACAAGGCGCUCAUGUUCUUCAACGCGCAGAGAUGUGAGUUGCUGCUCUUUUCCUGCACUUCUGUUUCGUUUGGGGUUUCGCGUUUUCUUGUGGGAAAUGCUUGUGUUUUUUCUUUCUUUUUUGUGUCCGCAGCCAUUACUCUGGUGAUUCGAGAAAUUUAGGGCCUGGUUUGGGAAAUUUUGGUAUAAAAAAUGGCUGAUUUUUUAGACAGCGGACUGUUUUUUACUCGGUAGUAGAAUUGUAGAAUAAUGAUAGAUUAAAUUUUUAGUGGUGGUUUUGACGAUGCUUUGCAUCGCCUGUUGGAAAGCUGGACUUUUUAGUCGUUUUAGCUAGUUAUAUUCUCGAUUCAUUACCUGAAAUGGGAGAGAGGACGAGCGCUCCUGGUUCUCUUAUCUUUCAGAUCUGUCCUUAAAAAUGCCUAAACUGCAUUUUGAAGAUUGAUUUUCAAAUGUGAAAUGCGCAUUUCAUUCAUGUCCGCGUUCUUCAAAUUUGCUGCAGCUGGCAAGCUUCCGAAGCACAACAAUGUACCAUGGCGUGGUAACUCUUGCAUGAAGGAUGGGCUCUCGGACCCGGCAGUACGGAGAAGCCUGGUCGGCGGGUACUACGACGCUGGCAAUGCCGUCAAGUUCAACUUCCCAGCUGCCUUCUCCAUGACCCUCCUCAGCUGGAGUGUCAUUGAGUACAGUGCUAAGUACGAGGCUGUUGGAGAACUUGGCCAUGUCCGUGACAUUAUCAAGUGGGGAGCAGACUACUUCUUGAAGACCUUUAACUCCUCAGCCGAUAGCAUUGAUCGUGUCAUUGCGCAGGUAAAAAUAAAUCACCACAAAUAGAGAUGCGCUGGGUGUUAUGUUCUUGUCCCACCAGGCCAUGCUAAUCUAAAAAAUUAUGGGGAGGGUGCAGGUGGGAAGUGCUGCAACGUCACCUGGUUCUACACAGCCCAAUGAUCAUUAUUGUUGGAUGAGGCCAGAGGACAUCGACUACCCACGUCCAGUGGUCGAGUGCCACGCCUGUUCGGAUCUUGCUGCUGAAAUGGCUGCAGCAUUAGCUGCAGCUUCUAUUGUAUUCAGGGACAAUAAGGCUUACUCACAGAAGCUUGUACAUGGUGCUACCACUCUCUUCCAAUUUGCACGGGAUCGGCGUGGCAGGUAUAGUGCAGGUGGUUCAGAUGCUGCAAAGUUCUACAAUUCAACCAGCUACUGGGAUGAGUUUGUGUGGGGUAGUUCAUGGAUGUACCUUGCGACUGGCAAUUCGUCAUACUUGACUCUGGCCACACACCCCAAGCUUGCAAAGCAUGCUGGUGCUUUCUGGGGUGGUCCGGAUUAUGGUGUGUUCAGCUGGGAUAAUAAGCUCACUGGUGCACAGGUAAAUGUCUUAAUUUUAUCUUGCCUAAUUAAAUGUUGAGACAUUCCUUACAUGACCCGCUGGCAUUUAGUUUGGUUGAUGGUUUAUACAUGGUACUGGAGUAGUACAUUUCGUUAUAACAUCUGCCCUAUAUGUUGAAUCAUUAUUUUUCUACAAGUAUACAUCAACUUGCUCAGCUGUGGUAGUAAUUUAGUGCCAGGUCAACCUCCUGUCAUAUUUAAGGUACUAACUAUUGUUAAACAAUAGGAUGAUUCCAAUUAUAGAGCAUGUGAGUCAGGGUUUUGUUGAUAUAUUAAGGGUGAUGUGGGCACAUCUUCAUUGUUGUCCUGUCUAGGCCUGUGCAUGCAUAGCACCCUUUCCCUUUACCCAUAGGUGUUAAUUAGAUCCGGACCAAUAGGUACAACAUGCUAGUGUUCAUCAUUUAAACAGGCAAUGUUGUACUAAUAGCUGGGGUGUCACACUCUUUCAAUCUCCAUGCAGCAUUCUACUAUAACACAACACUCUUUAUAACUUCUUUUUUUUAAGAAAAAAACUCAUGUGGUCAUGUGGUAAUCGAGCCCUUUUUCUAAAUAGGAAAAGGUAGCAUUUUUUGUUUGCUGUUGAACGAAUAAUGGCUUUUGACAUGCUUGUCUUACCUUUUUAUUUAUCUUCAAUUCCAGGUUCUUCUAAGCCGGUUAAGGCUUUUCUUGAGCCCUGGAUAUCCGUAUGAAGAGAUGUUGAGGACAUUCCACAACCAAACUAGCAUUAUCAUGUGUUCCUACCUUCCCAUCUUUAAGUCUUUCAACAGAACAAAAGGUCUUAUAGCCAUCAACUCAGUGUAUUACACUAUCACUACUGCUUUUUAGAAUAGUUUACUGAAAAUUUUCAUUACAGGUGGUUUGAUUCAGUUAAAUCACGGGAAGCCACAGCCUCUUCAAUAUGUGGCCAACGCUGCAUUCCUUGCUUCUGUGUUCAGUGACUAUCUUGAGGCUGCAGAUACCCCUGGGUGGUAUUGCGGCCCCCAUUUCUACUCUAUUGAGGUUCUUCGCGGUUUUGCAAGGACUCAGGUAAGCUGGUAGCAUUUUAUACUACAAUCUUGUUCCAGCAGUUUUUAACCCCUGAUGCUAAUUUGUUCCUUCUAUCAGAUUGAGUACAUCUUAGGAAAGAAUCCUUUGAAGAUGAGCUAUGUGGUAGGGUUCGGAAAACAUUACCCCAAGCAUGUUCACCACCAGGGUGCUUCGAUCCCCAAAAACGGUGUUCACUAUGGCUGCAAAGGAGGGUGGAAGUGGAGGGACACCAAGAAGCCAAACCCGAACAUCAUAGUUGGAGCUAUGGUCGCUGGCCCCGAUCGCCAUGAUGGAUUCAAAGAUGCCCGCAAGAACUACAACUACACUGAAGCAACGCUGGCGGGCAAUGCUGGUCUAGUCGCAGCAUUGGUAGCUUUGUCCGGUGAAAGCCAUGGGGUGGACAAGAACACGAUGUUCUCUGCAGUGCCGCCCAUGUUCCCAUCACCUCCACCGCCAUCAGCACCAUGGAAACCAUAAUGGCUGCGAGUAUCUGAUUCUUUUGUAUACUACGUAUUUUAGACUAGAGUUUUCUUUGUUGUAACACUACUGUGGAGAUCUAACAAGUGAAGAUGUAGCCAUUGCCUUGUUUUGGUUUCUUUUUCAGUGUUGUAUAAUCGCCGUGCUGUGUGCUAUGGACUAAGUUGUGUAUGAAUCUCUAUGUUCUACUAAUUCAGUGACAGAUUCCAAGGCAAUUUGUGGGAACUCUUGCAUCAGUUGAGUUCGAAAAAGCAGCAAUUGAUUCUCCGGGGAUCUGCGGGAACUCAACGUGGUUGUGUUUCCUGGACACUUGGAUUUUUCGAAACUCCUGAACAAGUAUUGCGAUGGUUUUGCCGGUUUCCGGCAAGGAGUAUCCCCAGGUGCGUCUUCACCUUCCCACCUCUUCACUCUGCAAUUCCACUCCCUCCCGAGACUCGAUCUCAGGAAGUCAGGAUGCCCGUUCAAUUCGAUUCAUGCCGUAUCCCCUCCGCGGCGUGUAAUUCUCCCAUCUCGUGCUGUAUCUUGACCAUAUGGAGCUGUUGGAAAGAGUGAAACCCCCUCCUCUCCAAUCUCCAUCACUAGUUCACUACCCCAAACUCCGGUGAGCUCAGAGACCUCCUAGUCCGAUCCUCAUCCUCUCCACGAUGAGUAGUAGCGGCGCAGCAGCAGAAGAAGAUGCGGCUGAAGCUGUCGGUGAAGGACGACGACGAAGUCGCCGCGAACGUCGUGCCGCCGGUGACCGUGGUCCUGGACGGGCAUCUGCCACCGAGACCACCUCAACCGGCAUGCCGGGUACCGCAGCCUCGCGGGCGCGCUCCGCUGCCUGUUCGUUGACGCGGACGAAGGCCAGGGGGAGGACGGCCUCGACCGAGCCAAUGCCAUCCCGGGCCACGUAGUGGCGUACGAAGACAUGGAGGACGACCUCCUCCUCGCCGGCCAUCUCAAGUGGAAGAUACAGCACGGGAUGGCCGCCGCCGCCCGCCCGCCCGCUCUGGGCGGAGAAAAGGAGUAGAGGAGGGCGCGGAGCAUGGAGUAGGCGGAGGAGAGGAGGAAGGUUGAGACGAGCAUGAGUACGGACACGGCGACGAGAAGGCGCGACUGGACACUCCGAAUGUGUCACCGGGCACAGCUUGCCAGCCAAUCUAUCUCGUCGGCGGCGAACGGGAAGGAGAGCGCUGCGUCGCCGUGGUAAGAGAAGAACAGAACUACGAAAGGACUAGUUUGUAAAAUAUAGGGAAACAAAUAGGGGUUUUAUGAAAAUAAUUGGAUCGCGAUUCGAUCCAAUUUAGGAGGUUUUAUGUAAAUAAUCGGUCGCGGUUAUUACACAGGAUCCGUUUUAGGGGGGUUUGUUUAAAUAAUCGGAUCACGAUUAGUAAUCGCGAUUUAGUUUAGGGAACUUUACGUAAAUAAACGGAUCGCGGAGAACAAUCACGAUCCCAAUGAGAAUUUAAUUUGCAAAUUUUGUGACCGCCGUCCACUCUGCGAUGCGACCUGCCCCGCCGGCGGACGCCCGGCGUCUCCAGCAAGCCCGCGGGAGCCGCAUUGGCUUCCGGAUGGAUAACCCGUUCGACGCGAAGGUGCUCCAGGUGCCGUCGUCGGCAGAGGACGGCAGCUGGUGGCAGCGACGGGAGGCUACGCAGGACGGACCGUCCGACGGUGGUAGUCGGCAUCCGAAGGGGAGAGUAUGCAUACGAUCUGGUAACGCCCGCCUCCUCCCCUUGCCAUCAGUGCCGUCUAUUUGGUUCUUUCCACAUGUUCAGUCAUGAUGUUCAUUUUUUUUAAAUGAUGAUGAACUUCGUCAAGGGGAAGUCUUUCACCCCUGAUAUGUUGGUAGGCAUAGUUCGAGCAAUCAGUUGCUGUUUAUGUUUUAAUAGUUUGAGACUAAUAUUUAGGCUCAUAUAUAGCCAAAUCAUUUGAAUUCUGGUCUUAUGCUGCACAAAAAUAGGGAAUAGGGAAAUUUUCAAGUGUCAGCAGUUACUGACUGAAGUAGUGAAACUAGUUAGGUUCAGCAACCUAAUAUCUGAUGAUCAUGGUGGUUUGUAGUACUAACGAUGGUUUUAUGGCAUAUAAUUAAACCUUUCCUGUUGAAGUUUCAACUCAUACAGGCUUUUCAGACUUUCAGCUUCUCAAGCUAUAUCAAACUCCAGAAGAAAGACAGCUAGAUGAGUUUUCAGCGUUAUGGUUAUCUUUUCUAACAUCAUGUAUUUUAAAUCACUGUGUAUAUGAAUAUACGAUCAUUAUUUUGCCAUCUUCCUAAUUGCUACCCCACUGUGGUCCACCUCAGAGCAUAAAGCUUAUUGUAAUUAAUAAAAGAAUUAAAGCAAACUUGGGUGAAAAGUAAGGCCUGUUUGGAAAGGGGUGUUAAACUUUAACACCCCCACUUUUAACACCUUUUUAACACAUUGGCUCCCAAGCAGGAGUGUUAAAAGGUUGUGUUAAAGUUUAACACUCCCAAUUUCAUAAACAUAUCAAUGGGGUGUUAAAACUUGAUAAACUUGUUAAAAGUGGUACCCCUCUCUACUCUUUCCCUAAUUGCCCCCCUUUCUCUCUCCUCCUCUCUCUCCUCCCUGCCGCCUGCGCAUCCUCCCCUCCCGCAUCGCAUCCUCCCCGCUCGCCGCCAUCUCCUCCCGCCGGCAGUCCAUCCCGCUCGCAGGUCCUCCUCUCUCUCCUCUCCCUCUUUCUCACAUCCUCUCUCUCCUCUCGGAGGCAGCGGCGGGCGGCCGAGAGCAGCAGUGUGGCAGCAACGUCUGGGGGGGAGCAGCGGGCACAACAGCGGUCGGGGAGGAGUAGCGCGGCAGCAGCGGCCAGGCAGGCGUGGCUUCGGUGGCGAGGCAGGCUUCGGCGGUGCGGCUUCGGGGCAGGUGGCGGCUUCGGCGACGGGCGCGGGAGGCAGGAGCAGCGGGAGUGGGCACGGGCGCGGAGGGCGGCUCUGAGCGGCGCCGACGAGUGGCCGCGCGGGAGAGCCGGCGAGCGACUUCUCCUCCACCACCGUCGGCCCCUAAGUGCGGUCCCUCCGUCCCCAAUCCUCUCCUCUGCCGUCGGGCCCCACGCAAGAUCUCUUCCGGCGCAACUCCUCCCGGAACGGCCCCCGCGGGACCUCCUCCGUCCUCCUCCCUCUGGCUCACCUCCUCCCGGACCGGCCCCUGCAGGACCUCCUCUGGCCUCCUCCCUCCGGCGCACCUCCUCCCUCCGGCGCACCUCCUCUGGAGCACCUCCUCCCUCGAGCACCGGCCGGGUGCCCCAGGAGCACGGCCGCUACCUCACAACGCCGUCGGGUGGCCCAGGAGUAAUGAGGGGCAAUAUUGUCAAUUUCAACCUAAGAUGUUAAAGUUUAACAGAUCAUCCAAACACCCCAAUUUGUUAAACUUUAACACUCCAUUUGAGGAUAGUAUCCAAAUAGGCCCUAACAAUACUUGUGGCAGAUGAAAAACAAGAUAAAUCUUUUGACUGCAGUAGUUUAUCUUGUUUUGGUAUUUGAAAGUACGGAAGGCAGGCUUGCCACUACAGAUCGUUUCAUACAAUUCUUGCACAUUUGCAUACUUACUCCAUCUGGUCCAAAAUGUAGGUCGUUUUGGCUUUUCUUGAUACAUAGAUAUUGCUAUGCACUUAAAUAUAGGGUUAUGUCUAGAUUAGAAAAGUCAAAACGACCUACAUUUUGAAAUAGAUGGAGUAUUUUCUUUUUAAUAUGCAUAUAUGAACACUUACUACAAGAACAUACAGCUAGCCACAUACUAACCCAAUUUGACCAUAAACAGAUUGGUGGGUCCUUGUCAUGUUGCUACUUGUGAUAGUACCAAUCUAUUGAAAUCUUUGUGCAUCUUUUCUCUAUUGAAACCUUUGUCUCAAAACUAGAUUACUACAUGGUGAGACUGUCAAUCUGUCAUCCUGGGUGGGCUGAUGUACUUCCCCCUUUAGCUCUUAAAUAUUCCAUGCACAGUUUUAAAAAGAAAACCUACAUUUGGCACCCCUUAGUAUUUAAUGUUUGCUAUUGUCCCCUAAGGAAUGAUUUUUUGGUUGUCCCUGUUAAUUACUAUUUCUAACUGUGGAAUGCAAGGUACAAUAGAAUAUACAGGUGAUGGAUCUGUUUGUAUCUUUGGGCAUCCGGCUUCGAAAACACACAGAGGAAACUGGAAGAGUUGCUCUUUAAACUUAGGCAAGUAUUGAAAUAAUCUCUCGAAUCAGCCUUUGUUUUUGAAGACCGUAGUUGGACAUGCAAUGGUCAAAUUGUGUUGAAUUUAGUUUAUAUUUUUUGAGUUUUUUAUUAAAUAGAGAUCCAAUACAAAACGAAUAUAUUAUUGCUGUCUGUUUAUUCUGCUGGUAUCUGGCCUAUUCUUCUUCAAUUGUAAAAAACCUAGUCAGCUAUCUCACAAAAGUCUUACAUGAAACAAAUGGUGUCGCUGCAAGAAAUGUUUCAACUUGGCGCGGUACCAGCUAUCUUGCACCUCUGGUUGGAGCCUUCUUAGCUGAUUCGUAUCUGGGGAAGUACUGGUAACCCUAAUCUCACAAUCUUUGUUCUUGCUAUGUGCUAAAUUUGACCUGUACUGUAAUUACUGUAAGUGGUAACAUUUAUGUCAGUACACUAUCCUCAAGAAGAGUGAACUCAGACCCUUAUCGAAAGUUUGAAACAAAUAAUUUAAGAGAUCAUAACUAUAUUUGAAGAGUAGUAAUUUUAUGUCAGUCACAUAAUAUAAUAGUAUUGUGGCAUUAAUAUAGACAAUAUAAGAGUUAGUUUGGAUUAACCAUUCCCAUGUGGGUUGGAGGGGAUUGAGGGGGAAUGAACUAAUAUUCCCCUCAAUCCCCCCGGUCCCCUCCAAUCCACAUGUGGAAUAGGACAUCCAAGAAGCCUCUGGUUUCUCGGAGUACAAUUUUCAAUCACACUUACCUGCUUGUAGCUUAGCGGUUGCACUUACCUCAGUAGCACCUCAGGUCCCGAGUUUGAAUCCCCGUGGGAGCGAAUUUCAGACUGGGUAAAAAAAAACAUCACUCGUUGGUCUCCCUAGUCGGCAUGGGUGAGACCGACAUAUGGUUGGCGGGCCCUCAUGUACUGGUCAAGACCCGAACCACAAGGGCUGAAUUAUCCAUGUAUGAGGGGUGCCAGUACCUUUCUCAACUAGGCUCCGGUUGAGCUCUUCUUGGAGAAAUAUCGUGGAGCGGUCUUUCCCCCACGGGCCAGGUUUGUUAGUAUUAGAUGUGCAUUCAACAUCCGAGAUCGAAUUUCUUACCGUGUUAUCUUCUGUUGCCCCUAUCCUGUUUAUUUAGGGAAUGGGGAUGUUGAUUCUGUCAGCAGCACUCUCUACUGGUCCCCAUAUUCUGUUUUCUUGGACAGAUAUAGUAUCAUAUCAGUUCAUCAUAGUUUGUUGGCUUGUACAUGGUUGUUAUAGGUUAUGGUGCACUGAACCCUUGUAUUACGUCCUUUGGUGCUGAUCAAUUUGAUCAUAAUAAUGAAGAGGAAAGAAACAGAAAGAGCUCUUUCUUCAGUUGGCACUAUUUUGCACUCAGUGCUGGCUCGUGUGGGUACAAGAACAUGAAGGCUGGCUCUGGGGUUUUACCAUCACGGCACUGUUUGUGGCUCUAGGUCCAAGUAUUUUUCUCUUGGGCUUUCCUGUACAUAGAUUUCAGAGAAUUGGAGCAAGCCCUAUGACAGGAGUAUCACAGGUUGUUUUUGCAGCUAUCCGCAACUUCAAUAAAGAUUUACCCCAAGCGAUUUUUCACUUCUUUAUGAGCUUCCUGAGCAAGGUUCAUCGAUUGAAGGAAGCAAGAAAUAAAAGCAUACAGCCGGACUUAAGUAACAUUCUAUUAUGAUAUUUCAUUCCAUACACUUGCAUUGACUUGAGUUUGCAUUUCCAUAUAAGUUUACUUAGAAAUUUUUAAAUAUAUAUGACCAUUUGAGAUUAUUCUAAACCUAUAUUUGAAACCAUGAAAGGAAAAGGAUUUCUUGUACUUGGUAGUACCGUAUUCUAGAGUCUACAGUCCAUGUGUUGAAACUAUAGGAAUGUAUUUGAUUCUGCUUUGAUUUGCCUGUACCAUAUGACACGGUAUGCAUUUGUUAUGCUUCUACAGUUCAAACUUAUGUCAAUACAAAGGCCACAAGAAGAUACCCAAUCAACCUAAAGGGGUGUUUGGAUAACCCCCGUUAAACUUUAGCACCUGUCACAUCGGAUGUUUGGAUAUUAAUUAGGAGUAUUAAACAUAGUCUAAUUACAAAACUAAUUGCACAGAUAGAGUCUAAUUCACGAGAUGAAUCUAUUAAGACUAUUAGUCCAUGAUUUGACAAUGUGGUGCUACAGUAACCAUUUGCUAAUGAUGGAUUAAUUAGCCUUAAUAGAUUCAUCUCGCGAAUUAGACUCCAUUUGUGCAAUUAGUUUUGUAAUUAGCUUAUGUUUAGUCUUUUUAAUUAGCAUCCGAACAUCCGAUAUGACCCUGAUAAAGUUUAGCACCUCGUAUCCAAACACCCCUUAAGUAUUUCCACAGAUUAAAAAAGAAAAUUCAUAGCGCAACCAAGUGUAUUUCUCAAUUCCAAGCAGUGAUCCUCUUUUUCCUCUUGCAGAUUUUUUGAUAAAGCUGCAGUUGUGGUAUCAUCUGAUUGUGAUUCUGUUGGCCUGCUUGAAUCAUGGAUAAUGUGUGUACUGUGAGUCAAGUGGAAGAGCAUAAGAUUCUGAUUAGAAUGCUGCCUACCUGAGCCACAAUGAUAUUCUUUUGUACAGUCCUGGAACAGAUGUCUUCGACCUUUAUAGAACAAGGUAUGGUAAUGGACAAACACAUCGGCUCUUUUGAAAUACCUGCAGCAUCCUUCCAAUCUGUGGAUAUCAGAUCUGUCCUUGUUCUCGUUCCAGUCCAUGAAAGAAUCCUUGUUCCGGCAUUUAGAAGAUUUGCUGGCAUUUCAAAUGGCAUUACGAAUCUUUAGCGGAGGGGGGGGGGGCGCUUACAGAUUGCAUAUGCCAAAGGUUAACGUUGACAUCGCUUUUUACCAGAGUCAACCAAUGAGAUAAGGUUCUGACAGCCGACGGACUUGCAGAAGAAAGUCUGUUGGUGCUCCUGUGAUGACCAAGGACAGAUGACCAGUUCUAGACGUCGAUAGAAGCCGAGGAGAAGCCGAUCCGGUGGAGAAUCAAUUUUACCAAAUAAGGGAACGUGUGAAGGUUUAUCUUUAGUAGUUUUAGAUGCGUUUGUAACGGUCCAUGUCUUAACCAACUAGGAUUUUAGUUUACUCUAGGGUAUAAAUAUAAACCCAUAAGCCUUGUAUCGAAUAAAAUCAUUAAUCAAUCAAUACAACCUUUCGGCGCCACGUCGCUAAAACCUUAGGUUUAGGAGUAGAGUCUGCACCGGCUUCGAUCUCAGGCGAGCUUGUAAGUACCGUCACCCGGUCAUUACGUUAUCUGUAUCAGAACUUUCCAGGCAUCAUCCACUAUUCUAAUCUCUUAUCGUGUGGCUAGUUAUCGAGUUGCUUCGAUUGCAAGUACAACCUUUUAGGCUUUGUCCAAAAUUCUAUUUGACUUCGAUGUUGCUCAUAAUUAUCGAGUUGUUUGGUUUGAUUAAGUUGUAUCGUAUCGAUCUCUUAGUUUUAUCAACGCUCAUAGUUAUCAAACGACUUAAAUCUGAUUAGUUCGUUCUUAUCGGCUUCCUAGUCUUGUUUAAACGUUCACCAAUUAUCGGAUCGUAUCAGCUCGUUAGAUCUUACAUGCUUUACUUGUUUUACAUAUGCUAGGUUCGAUAGAUCUUUACCCUUGCCCCUCACAUUGCUAGCCGUCGGAUCCUUAACAUCAACAUGCUACCAUUGAGAGCCGAUGCAUCGGUUGGGUAUCAUACAUAUCUCUUAGAAAUGUGACAACGUUAUGGAGCCUUUAGCUGUGCAUACGAGGCCUUGCUACCGCAAGCUAGUAUGUUACGUUGGUGGGUCGAAGUUAAUGCCCUCUCAGUCAUAAUACCUUGGUUAUCCAAUCUAUGUCUCAUGAUAUUAAUUAGAUCCGUUAGCUUAAUCGGCUUCUAAGUGGUAGGCAAGAGAUCUUUGCUACCGUGCUUUAAGCUUUUAGAUUAAUAGAUUGAAGUUAAUACCCUCCCAGUCUCGGCCGUACUGUUUUAGUUAAGUCCAAUCUACGUCUCAUGACACUAAUUAAAUCUGUUAGUUUAUCUGACAUGUGUAUAAUUAGCACGAGCUCCUUUUAUGGCUGUUGUUUUACAUUGCAUCUAUUUUAGCCCGUCAGCUCAUAUAGCCGAUGGCACAUGUCAUUAAUGUUCCUAUUUUAUUUGCACCAUAUGAUUACAUUUGAAACCUGACUGUUAUGGUGUUUAUUCAGAGUAACGCUUAUUAAUGAGCUCGAAGACUUAGCCACCUAUCGGGUCAGGAAUUUAAUGUUUCCCUUGUCAAUUUCAGAUCAAAUUGACUGGCACGUCUUGCACCUUCGUGAGUCGAUUUGGAACCUACACUGGAAUUAAGCAAAUCUUCUAGAUCCUCCGUGUUGUUCAACACAGAAGCAUGAAGUUCAGAUUUUACGUUAACAAUUAUGUGUACCGUGAGAUGAUUUUCUCUCGUACCGGUGUUCAUCGCCGGAGGGGGCAAUCGAGAGUGGAUCCCUGAUAACUUGAACGAAGCGCAUUUGAUCGGUUUUACUGGGUUAUGGCUGGGCUCAGUUUCCUAAUUCUGGUAGCCUUUAUGUUAUGUGCAAUAAGGUACAAGAACCAAAGGGCUUCCUGAAGUCCGUUAAUGUGUCAAUAUUAUAAUGGCAAACAGCAAUCUUUGGUUUGGUUUACAUGUAUGCCACACUGUCAACAUCAAAACUAAGGGGGGUGUUUGGGAGGAGGGGACUAAAUUUUAGUUCUCGUCACAUCGAAUGUUUGGACACUAAUUAGGAGUAUUAAACCUAAACUAAUUACAAAAAUAAUUACACAACCUCUACGCUAAAUCGCGAGACGAAUCUAUUAAGCCUAAUUAGUCCAUGAUUUGACAAUGUGGUGCUACAGUAACCAUUCGCUAAUGAUGGAUUGAUUAGGCUUAAUAGAUUCGUCUCGCGAUUUAGCCUAGGGGUUCUGCAAUUAAUUUUGUAAUUAGCUUAUGUUUAGUUCUCCUAAUUAGUAUCCGAACAUUGACAGGGCUAAAGUUUAGCCCCUGCUAUCCAAACGUCCCUUACACUUGUAAUUUCGGUGAUGCAUGUGAUCUUCGUCAUCCGUUUACCCUCACUUCUCAGUUAUCAUAUCUUUUGCUACAGAUGUGAGAAAUGCACUCGCGAUUCGUCCUCUCUUCCAAUUUCAGUAUACCACUCGCAAUCGGAAUAGGUGCUUUGCAUUUUCUAGGUAUUACCCCGAUGGUUUAAUAUUUUCCAUGAGUCUGUUUGAGCUGACUAGUUAUAGCUCUUCUUUAUAGGAAGUUUGUGCUAACAAGAGUAACAACCAAAAAGACUCGGGCCUACUAACGACAGAGGAAUUUUUUUAUUUUUAUAUUUAAUUUUUACGAUUUUGCAAAAAUAAUGUUGGAUAAAAAUUGCAGAUAUAGACUUAUACAGCCGGUAGACGUUUCAAACGGCAGUCACUAACCCAAAAAAUAAUUAAAAUUGUUAACGCCAUUUGAACCGACGGUAGCUUACAUGUCACGUGAUGUGGCAGGGGGCCCAGAGCUUACCGCCUGAUGAAACGGCUAUAGCAGUUUGAAACGGCGGUAAGUGCCCAUCCCCUUCUUCACCGCCACGCCGCCGCCGGCACCCCUUCUUCACCGGCCAUGCCGCCAGUGUCGACAGUUUGGAGGCUAGCUGUCGGCGUAGCCAUUUCAAACGGCUAUAACUUCGUGUAAUUUUUUUAUUUCAUGAUAUUUUUCCUUAGUUAUAAAAAUAUAUAAAGUUAGAUUGGAAACACUAAAUAUUCGAAUAUAUCAUUAUUGGUUUGAAUAUGAAAUUACAAAUUUUAGAGAGAGAGCGCUUCGAGAAAAUAUUGGAAAUUGAACUACUUCCGGGCCAUGGAAUAUAUAGUUGUUUCCAGCGAAAUUACAACACAUGAAAAUAAAAUUCGUGCAAAACAUACGAACAUCGAUAACUCUAAACUAAACAAUAGAUUGCAGCGGCAUGUGCGGCACGGAUGGCUAUCCUAAACAUGUGCCGUUGCUAAACCAAACACGCCUUAGGUAAUUGAAAUAGUCGGGGAUAGAGCCAUCUCUACUUAUAGUAGAACUGGCUUUGCGAGAGCUGGGAGGGCCCAGCCUCAUAGUAUCCAGCACUCCGAGAGAAAUGCAGUGACAGUGGGUGAUCCUUGUUGUGGUGUAGGGAUACUCGCACCAUGGAUCGGUACAAAUCGGGUCACGUGCAAUGUUAACCGCCCAAGGAUUUGCAUAAACUUCAGCUUGAAGAUCUUUCACCCUAUGCUCGAGGUCAAAGAUCUUGCACUUGAAGUAGUGGAUGUACUCUUAGGUUGGCUCAGGAAGUGAAGGAUCGACCCACUUCGCAUACCGGCAGUUUCCUUCAUCGAGAUAAGACUGAUCAUGAUGUUAGUUUGUAGCAUGAAAAGUUUAGCAAGAGUAAGGAAGUAAUAACCUGACUCACCAAGCCAUACGGGCAUCGAAAGAAACGCCGGCUUCCAUCACCGUAGUCAUCAAACAGCUGCAUGAUGCAAGUCACGCCAUGGUGACACAUUGGCCACGCAUCACGACAGUCGUCAUAAGACCUAAGGCAGUUUGGAGGGACGGAGUUAGCCCUAUCAUAUAGAAGGAAGUCGUCGAGGGGUUCCUCAUACUCGGUUGGGCCAAAAGAACCUAGCUAAGUGAUGGUGGGAAUAAGAGCAUCCCCUCCUCUUUCCCUCCUGCCACGACCUCUCCCUCUUGUGGAUGCCAUUGUUCUUCCUCCUGCUCAGUGGUAUGGAAAGAUACGGGAGAGUGAGGUCCAUAUAAGGAGUGUUGAGAUGGACAUGCACUAUGCCCCCAUUUGUUUAGUACCCCAUCGUGUUCAAUCAUCCUGAAAAAGCUUAGAUAUAAGCUUUGCAGGAGCAGGGAUGCAGGGCUCAGUAUGGAGUCCCAUCUUCCUAAAAAAGCUCCUUUAGGAUCCUUACAGUCUAUUGUGUAGGCUUUUCAGUGACGGUUCAUGUCAAUAGUGGAUUAGCAUUAUUUGAGUACUGUACUAGCAGCAGAACAGCAUAAUAGCAAUAGGGUGGAAUUUGAGUACUUGAAGCAUCGAGACGAAAUGUUAUCACAGUACAAACAAUAGUACAAUGGCAUGUGAGGCGCCCAACAUGACAAACCUAAAGAGCACCUUGCCUAGGAUAAAAUGCCUAAGGUAAUAUAAAUUGGUGGAUCACAACUAAUAUUUUACUGGGUGAACCGGGGAAGUUUCCCUAUCCUCACUUUUUUGGAGGAACAUUCUCCAUCCUGCUUCUUCAUGUUCUUCUGUCGCUCUUCUUCCUAGAGGAGUUGCGCCUGAUGAACUUCGAAUUCUUCCUCCUACCGUUUCAGUGUUGCCUCUCGAGCACCUAACUGCUCGCGCCACCUCUGCAGUUCAUCCUCCUUGUCCUUCAAACAGAUUUGUUGUUGGUAGAUGUGUCGCUCUUGCUCAAGCCGAGCAAGACAUGCCGCCUCUCGAGCCUCUGUAUGCCUAGCAUAGUACUGUCCUUUGGUCUCUAGCUCCACUGGGAUUAUGCGCACCUCCCCUACAGGCCUAGUGUCAAUCCAUUCCAUAAAUGUGCAAGUCUGCAUGUUGAUUCAUGAUUAGUUCUAGGUACCGGUACAAAGAAAAUAUAUUUAAAAUAUUUAUGAAUAGACAGAUCUUAAAAUUAUCGUCAAUGUCGGAACACUUGAAGUAUCUACACCCCUUCUUUCCCUGAGGUAAUCGAUCCUCCCAUACUUGCGACCACGCACGGAAGCCGCAGUGGCAUUUGGGGUGCUCAUUCCAUAGUGGAAUCCCAUUUUAGUCACCCUCCACGACGCCAUUUUUUAGAGGGACAAACAACCUCACUACAAGCGUUGCAUUCGGGUUCGACAAUGGUAGUAGUGCGUCUAAACAUUGCCUGGAUGUCUGUUAUAUAGAACGCUAGUGACAUGGUCCGUCCAUCAUGGUAAAGGAAAAGAACAUGCAUGGACAUUAUAGUUUGCACCGGCCUACCUACCAAAGUCUCUGCACUAGCCUACAUAACAUAGUCUGCAAAUGAGCACACAUUAUAGUCUACAGCAUCGUACACACCAUAGCCUGCACCGGCCUGCAAAAGAUAAAGAAGGCCCUAUGGACUAAAUGUGUCCUUGCUUGUGACGCACAGCACCAGAACCACGUCUCGCGACCCGUUGCGCUGCUCUGGUCUGCAGCUGGUCGUACGUAAAGGGCUCCGGAGGGGCAACCUCGCGACCCGGACGUCCUCUACAACUGGUGUCGCAAACUCCUGGGUGGAGCCCUGUGUCGGAGGCACUGGCGCUUCACCCAACUGCGAAGGACCUAUCUCCUCAGUGUUGUAGCUGAAAAAGGACUUCACCCAGUUUGUACUCAUCCUCUGCAUAUCAUCUUCUACGGACUCGUCAUUGGUCCCUCCGUAUCCUAUGUACGUUGUGAUCGAACCAAGAAGUGUUAUUGUCAAUUUUGAUCCGUAUUAGUAAUGGAAUAGAAUGCAUGUAUUGAUGACGCACCUACAUUGUCCACACAGAGUCCACAUGAAGAUGGUCCUCUUGCACUAAGUCUUCCGAAGUGUUGCGGCAUUGUGUCAUGAAAUUAUAAGUUAGUACGACCAAUUAGAGUAGAAUUGGUGAAUGGAAAAUGAGAAAGUAAGGACCACAUACUUGUGGGGGUGUGAAAGACUAUGGACCCGAUGCAUAAGUGGAAGGACCUGGUUGAGCUGCUGCCCAAGACAGUGCACGUGGAGGAGUACACGCCCCGGGGGAGGUUGCAUGUGCUUGUACUGCAGAAGAUGAUGCGUGGUACGCUGAUCGUGUGGGUGCAGCAGAAGAGGAACUGGGGUGCUGCGUAGGUGGUGUUGAAGAUGAACUGGUGUAGGUAGCCCGUGGUGGAAGUAGAAUGUUGGCGUCACCACCACGGUAGCUGACAGCCCGCUGAAACCUAGCACACACGGUCAUGAUCCUCCUGUAUAUCGACUCGUGCUCGUGCGGGUUCAUGUGCAUGUAAUUCUCCAUGUCGGUCCACGCUGUCGCCUCAACUGCUGCAAUAACAUCGUACUGAUGACAAUUACAUAGUUCAAGUUGGGCACAAAAUAAUCCUACAAAGUGCAACAUAACCCAAUAUAGUAUGAGUAGCAAAUGAUGGAGAAGCGUACCGCGAUGUCGGAGUAGCUUCCUGGAUUCCUCUAGCAUAUGGUGUGCAACAAAGCAGGGAGGUUAUCAUAUGAUGCUUCUUAUUUACCCCACUUCAUCUCUAACGCCUUCUGCUUGGCUCGGUAAGCGUUACUGUAGCUAAUUUUGUACUUGAACUUCUCCUCUAUGGCACAAAUAGUUGACUUGGGCUCAUAGCUAGGAUUCUCGACUAUCUGAGGAUACAUGUAUUGAGCAACAAAAUCAGCUGUGAGGUUGCGGUAUUGUGCUUCCAAUUCAUCCAGCACGCAUUCGUGCUCCACCUAUCUAGUCACCUCCCAAUAAUCCUUCCACUUGACACACGUCAUAUAUUGUCGGGCUGCUCUUCACCACCUUGAACUGUCGUUGCAAAUAUAAAGUCGAUCAUCGCUUUAUAGCUGCCUUCACCUCAUCCCCACUAGGGUACAAAGCACCGACACAAACCUCAUUUUGCCUGUACUCCCAAAGGAUAUUUUCCCCUUCAUUGACUGUUAGGUUCGAAUGGCCAUAACUUGACCAGUUCUACGGGAUAGGAUUAGCAUCAUUCUCAUCCAACGAGUCAUCAUCCAUGGCACGAAGGUGCUCUUCUCCUUCCCUCUCUACCUGCUCAACUAACCUAGGGAUGUGUUCCCCCUCAUCGGCCUCGCCAUUUGGCUCACAGGGUGCCUCUUCGUCCUCUGCAUCUCCUUCUUCUACCCCUUGUUAUCUUCUUCAGUUUGCCAAUCGGUAAUAUCUAGACCUUCCUCGCCUCUAACUUCCCCACCACCAACUUAUUCUUGCAACUGACUGCUAGACCCAAUCUUUUGGAACACUUCAACAAACAAUAUCAACGGUAAAACCACGCUCAAUAAUAGCAUUUUACAUAGACCCUCCAGUUCUGGGUUCCUUCAAGCGGCAUCAACUCCCAAAAUAUUAUGUCAGUUCGAAACCUCACUACAGUUCUAACAGAUAGCUCAACUUGAUCUCUAUCAAGCUUGAAAGUCUUAAAUAGUCAGUUGCAUAUUGAUGCCCAAGUCCUCUCUCUUGCUCUUGGUACUUAUUUCCAGAACGACUUAAAUUCAGAUAAAUCUACCCCUUUUGAACCAUAUCUAAGCUCCUUGGGACUAUAGAACACUUGAAAAAAUAAACUAUCCGACAUGCCUGUCAAUAUACACGACAUGAACAGAUAUUAUUACUAAAUGUUAUUAAUUUUAACUAACUCGAACAACACCUACGUUUAGAAAACUAUAUAAAAUUAUAACUCAUGCAUUGCUAAUAAUAUUAAUUUUAGAGUUAUCUAAUAUAUCAACAAAUUAAUUUUACCUUACCCUGUCAAUAUACACAACGUCAAGAAAGAUCAUUACUAAAUGUUACUAAAUUUAACUAACCCUAAUCACACCUACAUUCCGAAAAACUAUAUAAAGUUAUACACGACACUAACAAACAUUAUUACUAAAUGUUAUUAUUACUAAAUGUUAUUAAUUCAACUAACCCCAAAACACCUACAUUGUUAAUAACUAUAUAAAAUUAUAACUUGUGCGUUGCUAAUAAUAUUAAUUUUAAAGUUAUCUAAAUAUAUAAACAAAUUAAUUUUACUUUACCCUGUCAAUAUACACGACAUCAAGAGAGAUCAUUACUAAAUAUUAAUAAAUUUAACUAACCCUAAUCACACCUGUAUUUCGAAAAACUAUAUAAAGUUAUACAUGACAUGAACAGACAUUAUUACUAAUUGUUAUUAAUUUGAACUAACCUCAAAAAUACCUACAUUCUGAAUAACUAUAUAAAAUUAUAACUCGUGCAUUGCCAAUAAUAUUAAGCUUAAAGUUAUCUAAAUAAAUCAACAAACUAAAUUUACUUUAACCAAAAUAACUAAGCUAAAUCCACUAUACCGGCAAACUAAUAUUUAUCUAUAUCUCAUAUGUACACCUAGAUUUGAUCUAAUACUUAACACUACACCAUUUAUAAAUCAUAUCGACUACUACAUCUAUUAACUAUGAGUUAAGAUAAACUGCGAGAUUUCAAAUAAUAGCUGAAGUGAAGUGCAGAUCCGGCAAAGCUUCGCUUCAAUCUCCACCCUCCUCCUCUCCCUCUCUUCCCCCCUCCUCUCCUCUCCUCUCCUCCCUCGCUUUCUCUUCUCUUCUCCCCAAAUGAACCAGCGCACUUCUGGCCCGACCUCGGCCGUUCUUCGCGUUUUAAAGGGUGGGGUAGCCUACCGCCGACUGAUUCGGUGGGAUCUUCCCGCUCCUGCCGUUUGAAUCGGCGGAAGGCUGUUACCGUCGCUUCAUCCGGCGGUAACCAGCUACCGCCGUUUCAUCCAGCGGUAAGUCUGUGGGUCCCUCGAUCGCCAGGACUCCGUAUGCUGCCUGCCGUUUCAGACGCCGGCAAGCGGUUCGCCCCGCUGCCUCCUGACUUGGCACCACGGUGUCGCAGGGUUGCUGACGUGGCGUCCCGUUUCCGAUUUUUUUAUUCGUUGCACAGGUACCGCCGGCUGAAACGGCAGUCUUACCGCCGGUUGAAAUGGCGGUACAUCCCGCGGCAUACGUCUAUAUUUGCUUUUUUUCCUCUGCUAUUUAUUUCUGCAAAAUUAAAAAAUAUAUAUAAAAAUAAAAAACAUCAACGAUAGAGACACAGAGUUAAGCGUUGGGCCGAGGCUUUUCAAUCCUUCAAUUUUGUAGCCAGAUGGGCCUACUACUUUGCCUAGCCCAUCUCAUUGUCGUUGUCGUCGGUUGGACUUUGGUGAUGACAUAAUAGCCCAUGACGUCCUCGGUGGCGGCACAGCCGCUGCUAGUGCCGGCAACGCGCGUCGGCCUCCGUUCCCAGACGACACGAGGGCGCGCGCAUCGACUCGUGUCGUCCGUCGUGGAACCCGGAAACGUGCAUGUGCGUGGAUCGAAGCGCACCGGGCGGAGCGGGGAGGAGGAGGGAUGACGGGUGACGACAGGCAUCGCAACCGUGUGCUCGGCGGCAGCAGGUGCUAGCACUAGCCCGAGCACUAGCACUAGGCACUAGCACGCCUCCCCCAGCACCGGUGGCCGCGCCGAGACGGCAAGGGCACCGCCGCUGCCGCAGCGGGACGCCGCGCUCGAGGAGAACAGAACCAAACCGUACAGGCUGCGCCGCAACCGCCGUGCCGCGGAAGGGAAUCCGUCAGCCGGCCCGGCCGCGGAAGCAGGCGCGCGCGCACACGGUCUCCCACGCGCGGUUUGAACCCAUCUUCGCCCGCCUCGGAGCCCGCGACCUGACGAGAGAGGUGGCAGGUUGGUGGAUAGACCUUGUUUGUUUAGUCCUCUUUUUUCCAACUUUAAUAUUACACAUCAAACUUGUAGUAUGUGCAUGAAGUAUUAAAUGUAGACGAAAUUAAAAAUUAAUUGUACAGUUUUAUUGUACUUUGCGAGACGAAUCUUUUGAGUCUAAUUAGUCAAUAUUUGAACAAUAAUUCAUAAAUACAAAUGAAAUACUACAAUUGCGCAUUUAUGGCAAAAUGCAAAUUUUGUUACUCCCAAUUUGAGACUAAACAACAAGGCCUUAGGCUCGUUUGGAUCGUUUAGAUUAGGAAUAGUGAUUAUAAUAAUCUGAAUUUUACAUAAUAAUAAUUUAAUAUAUUUGAAUUCUAAGAUUAUGAUAUGUGUGGAUAGGGGAUGGGGUUUGGAGUUGUCGUAUAAUUGUAAUUCCAAUUUAUAAUCUCCAAAUAACUAAAAAUAAAUCUCAACGCGUCUUAAAUUUAUUGUAGAGCUUAAAAAAAAAGAGAAAGACUUCCAAAUACAUGCGGAUCCUUUUUAAUGACCUGCCGAUAACAAGAAACCCACUUCAACUAAAUCCUCAAUCAUCCAAUCAUGUCAACUCGGGAAUAAAUGAGCAAUUGUUCAAAUACUCCCUCCGUGUAGGAAAAGGAAGUCGUUUUGGACAGCGACACGAUCUCCAAAGCAUUACUUUGACUUCUUAUUUUUAUAAAAACAUUUAUCCAGAAGUGAUAUAUGUAUAUUUUUAUGAAAGUAUUUUUCAAGACAAAUCUAUUUAUAUGGCUUUCACAUUUCCAAACUCAACAACUUAAAAAUUAUUCAUGAUUUAUAUUCCCAAUGUUUGAUCUAAACCUUGUCCAAAACGACUUCAUUUUCCUAUACGGAGGGAGUAUGUCUAGAGAGUAUUAUAUUUGAUGAUAAAUUUUGAAUAGUUAGACAUAUUAUAUCUCACGACAAAAGGGAGUGAUUGACUUAGAUCCCCACUAUUUUUUUUAUUUAAGUUUUGAUACAACUUAAAUAUGAAUAAGUCGAUUUUAUUAAAUUACUCCGAAACAUUCAGAAGUAUCUUUGGAAGUUAUCCAUGGCCAACAGCAAAGGUACUGCUGUCACUCGUACAUAAAUCAUUGAAAAGUUACAAUCUACUCCCUCUUGCUACAGUUACAAAUGUACGUCCGUUUCCAAAAUAACAAUUUGACUUCCAGUUUUUUUAUAAAAGAAUAUGAUUUUCGGAAUGUAAGUCCAUGACCAGCACCAAAUGCCAAGGCCCCCCUAAGCCAUGUAAAUUUCCAGUAAAAAUUUUAAAUUUUGAUACUUUAACACUACUGCCCCAUAACAAAGUAAAAUUCGAAAUUCUAACUCCACCUUUGGUUACUUGUUGGGAUCAAGUAAAAAGAAGUUUAACCGGCUAAAAUCCUAAAAUUACCUACAUUUGGAGUCGGCCUAGAGACCAAAAGUGACAUACGGCAGAUUAUUUUCCUAUUAAUAUGACAAUCCGUGGAUCAAAAUAGAAACAUGAGUACAAGCAAAGCAAGUUGCAGACCGAAAUGAGAAGAAAAGAAGCGCACCAACCCUUUAGUUGUAUUGUACUGUACUGUACAGUAUAAGCACAUAGCAGUAGAAGUAUACCCUGCGUUCGAGCGCGUCCGAUCGCUUUCGAUCGACGACGACCAGCUCACUGAUCGAAGACCACCGCCGCGCGACAAGGGUGCGUGCGGGUCACUCCGUGGAUAUACCCUACAGUUGCAUAAUGCGUCAUGGUGUUUAGCUGUUACUACUGUUACUCGCGUACGUAUGCGACUGUGGUCUGUGGAUGGCCGCCCACUGUUCCGGGUCGCCAUGGUGACACCGGCUCCACAAUCCGGGCGCCCAGCACAUGCCUCGGUGAAUCAGUGAGUCCCCCAUGCUGCAUGCAUGCAUGAACGACGAUGAUCCAUCGAUCAGCAGUUCAUCACUCGGAGCGGAGGUCGGCGCAAGUGUGCCGUACCACCGCGUACGCGCGCCGAAGAGGCAACGCAAUCGACUCCCUGACGCGAGUGCGCGCUUCUACCGCGCUGCCGGCAGACGGCACCGUGGAACACCAAUCUGUCCAAAAGAGCAUCAGCUGUUUCCUCAACGAAAGGGGGAGAUCAGCCCGCUACAAAAUUGGUGUUCCAGUCGAGGGACCAGGCUAGCCGAUGGCGCCGAACUCAAACUCCGUAGGGCGGGGAGAGUAGGUGACGUUUGAUGCCCAACAGCCCAAAGCUUGUUAGAAAAACAAAAACAAAAGGUGCGCAUUGUUGACACUUGACAGGACCAAGAUCGGGGGGGAAAAAACAGGACGAAAUCAGAUCGCAUCACGCUUUGACAAAGCUUUUGCUGACGAGAGAUAGAAACGCACGAAUACUGUAUCACCUAACCUAUCACUAACCUAGAUGGACACGAACGGAUAUCUGUACGUGCGCUGGCGCGGCGCGCUGGGAUCGCGGAACAGAUCUCGGGUCACAGAUUGCAGCAGCACCAAGUGGUGUUAGCGAUCGGAACAAGACGAGGCUCCUCUCCGCAGGAUCACCCCCAAUCUUAAACCCACAUGCAGGUCAGGUGCCCCCGCGCGAUCCGCAUCCGCGCCACGGCCACGGGUGGCGACUGGCGAAUCCGGAGGGGGACAGGCGAGCCCAAGGGACAACCGGGGGCCGCCGCACAUGCCGGCACAUGCGCACGCACAGAACUAGCCGCGGCACGGCUGCCGGGCCGAGCUGCCGAGCCAAGCACCGCCUCCUCCUUGCUCACGAACACGUCUCGUCUCACUUCUUCAGUCCUGUCCUCCUCAUGCGGUCCUGCCCUGUGCCCUACCACGCUGCGCGCGUACGUGUACGCAGUCGCAUGGGCUCCGCUGCGCUCGCACGCGCGCCCCGGCCCGGCCCGGGAGAGCAGAACAGAGGACAGGAGUGAGGAGCCGGAGGCCGGAGCCCCCAGCGGCAGCGGCCGCCUUGCUCAGCGGCGUGCCUGGCAGGCAAAGGCGCAAAGCCGUGGGUGGGUGCGGUGCGGGGGCGCCGGGCGACACGCGGGGUCCCGGGAUGUGAUCGCCGGGCCCCGGCGCGCGUGGCGCCUAGCGCCCGACUUGUCCCGCUCACAGCGCGCCUGCUUGUCCUGAGCCCCUGAGCGCGGGCACCCGCAUAUGGCCCGCCGGGGCGGUGGGGGCGCGCUGCUAUUUGCUCGGCAGCCACAGCCCACAGCAGAGGCGCAGAGCUACUCCUACUAGUGCAGUGGGAUGCAGAUGCUACAACAAGGAUUAGCCCCGGGCCGCGGCCACCGCUGCACUAAUGACCCCGAUUUGGUCGCGGCGUCGGGUUUGACCGGGGGUGUUUUGCGCCGAGGGCCCUGUGUUUUAGCGGAUUGUUUUCCCGCGCCGGGGGGUAGGUACCUGCACUACUAGUCUAGUAGCAAGUGUUGUUUUGUGGAUUGUAUUCUUUGUGGAUUCGUGCGCGGCCUUGGCGUCCGCGCCCUGCUUUAAUUUUGUCGUGUCUCGCCACCUGUCCGGACCUGUUCAUUGGGUAACGAUUGCCGGCUGUGUGCAUGUGCAGGGGGGAUUCAGAGGGCUUUACAGGCUUUAAUAAGUUUACUGCGAUGCGAUGAGCCUACGACACUCUAACAGUGCGAGGGGCUUUGACAGGAAAGACUUUGGAACGACCCCUCGACUUUUCAAAAGCGACCUUUGCGCAAAAUUUGCCUGCUGAUUACGAGCCGUCAUCGGCACCCUUGCAAGCCAAGCCAGAGCUUGAGCCAGCUCCAUCAAAUCAAAUCCACAGCUUGAAGGGAAUGCAUCGUGCUCACAAGUUAAACAGCAGGCCAUGACACAAGAACGCCAAACAGACCAAAACAGAUGCAUCAGCAAUGGUUUCAGAUUUUUGUUUUUGGAGCUGGAGAGACGGUUUCAAAUUUUGAAACGGGUCAAGAACUGUACCAUGCCAUGACACAAUGACGCCAUGCAUGUGUGCAGGCGCAGGCAGGGAGGGCCCCGCGAGAAACCGGUACGUGCCGGGGGUGCAGACGCAGCGGACCACCAGGGGCAGAGCAGACCAGGGCUACGGCGCGUACCGUGCGGUUGAUGGGCUUGAUAAAAGCUGGGGGCACACUGCGCAGGCCACAUGGGCGUGACUCGGCCCUGCCACCGUGGGGACGCCCCCCACCUUUUUCACCCGGCCGCCCGGGUGUACGCGUACGUGCUGAGUGAGAUGUGGCCGCGCGCGUGAAACAUACGGACACGGGAGACACUGGUCAACUCCAGUGCGCGUGUGUACUGCGGUGCCGGUACAGGACGCCGGGGUCGUGCGUGACAGCAGCCACGACCAGGUACUCACUCCAUCAAUGGAUUGAGACACAGAUCUUUAGUCGCGGUAAUUUAGCAUGAAAUGUCCGCGGUAACGAAUCCACACGAUGUUUUGCGGGAGAGACACAGAUCGUCUAUGUGAGCGUAGUGGGGCUCGUGAGAGUCAGUGACAUGUGAGCUCUGUGCUACGCUUGCUGCUUCACGGCAGGAGGCCCCCGACCUGGCUUUCGUCGGAAGCGCUACGAAACAUUUGGCAAAGCCGAAACUUUCCUGUAGCGAACGGGACCAACACAUUGGCGGGCGGAAAUGGCUAACGAAACCAGCAGAAAAUCGGGACGGAUCACAAAAUCUAACGCCUUUUCUAAGGUUUGGCGUGAACAGACAUUUGCUUUGGGUGGUUGGGGCUUGGGAGCAUAUAUAUAAAUCCUACAAGUCAGUAGUAGUUCACUACUGCAUUGUUAGCGGGAUCAUUAGUUGCGAGAUAACCAUCUUUGGACAAACAACACUGUCCCAGAUGCAAAGUUCAGGGUCGCAGUCAAGGUUAUCAAAAUGGCAACCCAGAUAGUGGCGUUACGAUCACAAGUUCACAACUCAUAACACUUGUGAUAAUAAGAAUUACGAGUCUUAUCGCCGUAGAAACAGCUGAGGUCGAUGGAGAUCCUGAGAUCCAUCUCGGUAUCUCACAACACCAGCAACAUCAGAACACAGUUGAUAGUCCCUAUUGAUGGAGACCCAGAAAAAAGGAGGCAGCAAAGCACAUACAAAUUUCCUUUCUCACUUUACUUUGAUUCUUUCUGUAGAGGUGUCAACUACACUGGGAUCCACUCAACUAGAUGAUAACAAAAGCAAAAUAAUCACAUAUUUUGUGGCCCCCUGCCUCUGCUAAUCAGGGGAUGGUACUAAAGUCUCUUAAGAGACAUUAACAGAGCAGCUACUGAAGAUGAUAAACAUAUGAGAUCUCACACAGCUCUUGUAAUAUACAUUAAGCCCAUAGGAAUGGCUUGGGAUCUUGCAGUUAAAAUACCUCACAGACCACUGCCAUGGCCAUGUGCUCCUUCUCCAGUCCCUGGCCCGGCCCCUGUAUACAAUAUCUGCAGCUUGCAGCAGGCUGUAGCUGUACUGGUGUUACAUGUGACCUGUGUGCUGUGGCUGGUACCAGCAUUGUGGAUUAACCUCACAUUUAGUAAACCUAGUGGAG